rnacentral:lncRNA from 1 species
CUCACUCUCCGCAUCUUCUUUUGGGUAUAUCAUAUUCUCUCUUCUUCAAUGUUCUCUAUCCACAACCCUCCAAAAUGAACAUCUUCUUUAUCCUCAGAUCCCUCUCUUCUCCCCUGAUUCUCUCCUACAUCAUCAUCUUCUAUCUCCUUGCCAAAAACACCUCCUGUGGUGUGGACCCAAAAUUUCUUGCAUGUCCACCCACAACCUGCGCCAACAACAAUCAAAGUAUAAGUUAUCCCUUUUACAUCCAAGGAAAACAAGAACCUUUUUGUGGGAAUCCCGGUUUUGGCAUCUCUUGUGGCCCAAAUGGUUUUCCAAUCCUUAAUCUGUCUAUACCCAAUACAUCAUUCACCAAAUAUCUACGAAAAUCAGACACUUCGAGUGUCCAAUACCGCGUUUUCAGUUUCACGACCAAACACCACCAAUUCCAAAGGUUGUCUUCCUCUUCCUCUUACUCAGAAUCUCACUCUUCCUAGUACCCGCGAGUUCGAUAUUGCUCCGAAUCAAACAGACAUUAGAUUGUUCUACGGCUGUGGGUCAUUGCCUUGGCUGGAAGAGCACAAAGUUGGGUGCUUUAACGAAACGAGUUCAGUUCUGGCAUUGUAUAAAGAGGAUAAAAAUAUAAGUUUUGUGUCAAAGAAUUGCCAGGGCGAGGUUGUGGAUACGAUAGUGGAAGAUGGAAUAAUAGGAGGGAAUGAAGAAGCGUUGACAAAAGGGUUUUUGCUGACGUGGAAGGCCGGUAACUGCAGCGUGUGCCACAACACUGGAGGGAGGUGCGGCUUCGAUUUCGUCAUGUACACUUUCAGGUGCUUCUGCACUGACAGAGUUCAUUCUGCCAAAUGUGGUCCUGAUGAUGAUCCAGGUUAGUUUUUUCUAAUGACCAAAACUUCUAAUAAAGACAAUGACCAGGUUAUUAAAAUGUAUGGAGACAUGUAACGUUUACUCAAACUUCAUAAUUGCAAUGGCUGCAUGGUUAGAUGCUUUGAUUGGAAAUUACUAGUAUAUAUAAAGGCUGCCAGAGAAGACUUAAUUAAUUUAAAACUAUUUAGUUUAUAUGGUUGCAAUUGGUGUGUUUUCUUCGUUUUCAGUUUAAAAAAAAGAGUAAAGUUUAAGACUAUACAAUACUAUAACAGAAAACUCAACAGCAAAGUUCUGUUAACACUAAACAGAAGUAUCUUCAGUUUGUUUGGCAAAAGAAAGGACGGGGAUUGGUCUAAUCAGUCUCGAAUGAUGGUUAUGUGAGUGAAAAAAAAAAAUAGGUGAGGUAGAAUAACUACCAAACGAAUUAGUCAAACCAUAAUUUCCAUUUUAGCCUGUUAAUACUAUGACUUAUGAGAUGAAGGGGUCGGGGAAGCAAAAAUCUUUUUCUAUUUCAGUUUUUUUAAUUUUAAUUAGAAUAAUAAUAUUGUGAAUGAAUAACAAUACUAUUAUAAAUUUAAAUUGAUGUUAGCACAAUUUUAAAAUAAGAAAGUCACACCUAUAUCAUUUAGUUGACUUCAAACGAAUUUUGAAUAUUCCAAACAACUGCUUGUUCUUUUUCUUUUUUUCAAUUUCAUGAUUGAUACAUUAUCAAUAAUUUAGGUCGAUGUUCAAUUCCUACUUUUCAAUCUAGGAUGGAUGGCUCUUAUGUCUACGUUUCAAUGCAUAUAUUUUGUUAUGGGUUAUAUUACUGAGAACUCUAAAGAUAGUAACUAAAAUAUAUUUAAUUUACUUCAUUAAAUAUUUAUAAUUAUUUGAAAAAAAUAUUAAAUACUUUUUUUAUGUUUAUUGAUUGAGGAAAUAUUAGAUUUAUACAUAUUAGUUUUAUACUUUUCCAAUAAUAGUGGAAUAUAUAAAAUAGUUACUGGCAUAUUGAAAUUAAUGAGAUAUUAGAAAGAUAAUUAAGUUGAAGAGAGAAAUUGAUAGAAUUAGUGAAUUUUAAAUAAGGAUAAUUUUAACAUUUUUUUUAAUUAAAAACACUAUUAACUGAUUUCUACAAUUUUUUAAUAUAUGUAAAUUAAUAAAAAUAACUUAUAAUAAAAAAAUGGAGGAAGUAUUUUUCAAUCCUUCAAUAUGAAUUCUCGUUGAAAGAACACACAUACUAAAGAUAGAGAUAUUCUAUCACCCUCUGAGAGAGAAAGAAAUACACUAUUAAGUAGUAUUAAGUAUUAGCAAUAAUCUUUUUUGUUUUCUUAUACUUAUUUUGUAAAAUACAUAUAUUUUUUAAAAUAGAAGAGGAUGGAAAGGAGGAAGCGGGGAAAAGAUGGGUAUAAUUAAUAAAAAUAAAACUGAAAGUUGAAAAUUAAAUUAACUUAGAAGUGUUUUAAUAUUUUAGUUCUUAAAACUAAAAAUGUUAUUUUUAAAAAAAAUUCAAAACUACUUUGAACAAACAUGUAAUUUUUUGUCUUUAAAAUAUAUAUUUUUAAAAAUAAACAAAUAAGCUUAAUAUAUUAAAAGAGUCUAAUUUAAUUGGUUGAAAAAAAUGCAUGAGUGUCAUAGAGCCUGGUAUAAUUUCUAAUUUUUUUUAUUAAUUGUACUUAUUUGUUAAUUAUCAUUGACAGUUGACAGUAAGCUUUUAUUUAAAAACUUACAAGAUGCCUAAAUAUAAUAACAAGUUUUAAACUAUAAUUAAACAGAAAAAAUAGUUACGUAACUAUUUUUGGAAGUAAUAAAAAAAGUUUAAGGCAGUGAACCGGACUUUCUAUUGUAAUUCGUUUUCUCUUUCCGAGAAAACUAUAUUACCGCAAUAGAUAUUAAGAUGAUUAAACAUUUUAACUUUUGAUUUUGCAUGAAAAAAUAUAAUUGUAUUUGAUACUGACGUUAAAUGGGAAAAGAGCAUGUAAUAUAGUUUAUUUGGCUUGAUAAAUAACUUUAGUGGUAUAUCUUAAAAUCUUAAAUUAUUUUUUUAUUUCACAAUCCCGCAAAACAUAAAAUCAAAGAUUUUUUAAGAUUUUUUUUAUUUUUUUCUUUAUUAUUAGAUUUUAUUUCUUGAGAUCUUAGAUAACUUAAUAAGUCGUGUAUGCAUCAUACUUUUAAAUAUUUUAUUUAAAUUUUAUAUUUUUUCUCUUCCCCUCUCUCAUUCUUUUUUUUAUUUUUUUUAUUUUCCUUUCUCUCUCAAGUUUCACUUUCCCUUCCCCUUCUCUUCUUUUUAUUUUCCUUUGUUGCUCUAGCAUCACUACAUCAGUAUAUGCGUCAUAUUAUAUAUAUACAUCAGUGUAUGCGUCACACACACACACACAGAUAUAUAUAUAUAUAUAUAUAUGUUAGUGCAUAUUCUGGACAGGACAAGGAGCUAAUUUAGUAAACUCAGCAAAAAAAAAAAGAGAGAGCUAAUUUAGACUAACUUAAACUAUAAUUGUUAGUUCUCUGAAAAAGAUAUUUUCAUAUUUUGGACUUUCCCUCUUACCUUUCUAUGGAUUACCCAAAUCCCAAUUCUUAUGUCAAAAUUUCUCACAUUUUUUUCAUGUUUACUAUUUUUAGCAAAAUUCACAAUAAUGGGCUGAAGCCUGAAGUUACUUGGUUGGGCCACUAUUAGGCUGGACUUUGUUACUGCCUUUUAAGAAUUUCGUUUUUUUUCCCUAAAAAUGUUUAGUCACAUUUUUUAGCAAAAUCUUUUCAAAAUGACCUUAGUAUGAAUGACCAAGUUCCUUACUAAAUUUAAAAACAGCUAUCCAACUUCCUGUAGCAAAAAAAAAAAAAAAACUAUCCAACUACAAGUUUGCAACAAUUCAAGUAACAUUUUCACAACAUCUAGACCAAUAAUGCUAUAAAAAAAUUCAUAAAUAUAUAUAUACCUGUUGAAUUAAGUCUAUUGACUUAUAUAAAAGAUUAGAUAUCCUAGUUUAUUCCAAAAUUGAUCUACUAGUUUAUUAAAAGACUUUACUAAAAUCAAAUUUUAAAUAGACUUUUAAUUUAUGUUUGAGUUAUUUCUUUUUUUAAAGAAGAUUAGAUCUUAAAAAAAGUCAAUAUCAAUUAAAUAGAUUACACUUAAUCCUCAUAUUAAAAAAAUAAAUUAAGGCUAUCUUGAUCUAUUUUUUUAAAACGUGACUAUAUAGUAAACGUCCAAGGUGGUCCAUAAAAGAAUACAUGGGGUUAUAAACAUCAAGUCGGUCCUUCAUAAUCUAAAAUAAGCAUCAAUUUAAUCUAGAUUAAAUUGGAGUUUGUUUAAAUAUUGAAAGACAAAAUAAUGCCUAAAAUCUUGAAGGAUCAACUUAAUUAACAUCUCAUAUAAUCUUAAAGGAUCAAUUUAAAGUAUCUAGUGACUAGUAUGAAUGUAAUAUUCAAUAGGAUUUAUUGGAAGUGUUCUGUUAAUAAAAUCUCAUGCUAAAAUAAGCUUUUCUGUCAGCUAUUGGUAUAGAAGAGAAGUUUUUUAUAUUGAAAAAAUAGGAAGUUUCCACAAAGUCUUCCAGUCUAAAUUAGAAUAUAGUCUUUGAUUGAAGGUAACUUAUUCAAUUAUACAACAACAACAAAGUGCCUUCUCCCGCUAGGAGAUAGAAACUUAUUUAAUUAUAUUCUAUGAUACUCGAACCAUAUUUUAUAAAAACUUGCCGCUCCCUCUUCCCAACCAUAAAGGAUUUUGCAUACUUUUUAUCCUUGAGUGCUUUUAUAAGUUUUAUUUAAUUGAAAUCUAAAUGGUUAAAUUCAUAGUUAAAUAUUCCUAUUAGCAAUUUUUUUUUGUUAAGAAGUAUGAUCCAUCAACCCGUUUUACUUUCUUUUUUUUUGUGUGUGAUUGCAACCCGUUUUACUUAGUGGCGGAACAGAUCUAACACACAUUUUAUCAAACACUACUCGUUCACGUAAUUAUUCUGUGAAGGCUAUCACAACAAAUCGGCGAUCAAUAUUACUUUAAUUUUCACUAAAAAAAAAACAUUACUUUAAUUUUUAGAAAGGAGCCCUGCUUCGAAAUUAGGUCUGAAGUUGAAGAAUUCAAUGGUACUAUACCUUAAUUUUUUCCCACGGUCUAAUAUGUUUGGAUGUAGGGCAUAUAAUAUUGAAAGUGACGUGUUUCUUAUGGUAUUUUAUAUGCUACCAAUAUGGAUGGGGGAGAUGAUACUUACCUUGAGUGCUACUAUUGUUGAGAUCUGAAUCCGUUAGAUGAAUAAAUGCUUUUUUGAGAUGUGUUAAAGAGUGAGUAUCCAAAUUAUUCUCUGAAAAUAAAUAUUUAAAAGACUUUGAUUCUUAAAAAACAAACUAUUUAGUCUUUCAAAUUAUAAGUAUAAGUAUGAGAGACUUCAGUUUUAGUCUAUACGGAGUAUAAAUAAAUGAACCAUAUUCAUAAUCUUGAGAAAUUAUUUGCUAACUUUUUCUGUAAGAUUUAAAUUAAGUAUUUACUAUAAAAGUAUAUUUAAGGGUUCCAUAACAACACUUACUCGUGGUACUCACUUAUUAAUUGUUGAUCGCUGUAGAAAUUGAUUCCAACUUUAAUCGAACUUUUAUCAUUAUGAUUUAUGAGUUCAAAUCUAACAUGGUCACUUUAGGCAGAGUUUUGUAGAUAAUAUAUACAUAUAAAUACGCAAUGGAGUAAUGCCAAUUCUUAGUCGUAAGGUUGAACGGGAAUAACUUCCUUUGCCUUUAAUUAUGAAUUCCCAAGUUUUCCCAUGGAAGACUCAACAUGAACCUGUUCCUCUACUUAAACUUUCCCGGCUCCAUUUCCCUGAUCCUUAUUUUCCAGUCUCUUUUCAAUUAGAGUUAAGCUUUCUUCAUCUUGAUUUUUUAAUAGCACCCUUACAUUGAAAGGUUGCUAAUCCAAUUCUACUUCCUUACACCGAUUCUCUUUUGGUCAUUUUUUGCUUAAAUAUGAAACUUAUUUUUAAACAAAACCCAUGAUUUAUUGUCAUCAUUAAAGUUUGAGAGACUAUAUUUUAUUAAAAAGUUGCUAAAGAACUAAAAUUGGGCAAGUAUUCGAUUUUUUUUUUUAAAAGACAAAAGAUUCAAUAACAUUAAAACUGUCCAGGCUACAAGCUGUAACCAAGACCAAAACAAAUACAUAGCAAUAUCAGUCCCAUGCGAUUGGACAAAAUACUAAACCCAUAAAACAAAGCUAAUAAUGAAGCAUGAAUCAGCCAUAAUACAUGUAUAACCCCUGCUACCAACUAAUAAAUGUUGAUACAGAACUUCCACCCUUAUUUACUGAUUACUAAUAAGUACAUUAAUCACUCAUGAUUGACUUCCAUCUUUGUUAUAUUAUAUGGUACACAACCUUUGAGGUUUAAAGUGCGUAGAGAUUAAAUUAUGGGAUCGGGUCAUAAUUUGAUAUGGAGAAUCAAAGUUCUGGAACCUCAAAUAUACAGUGCGUAGUGAUAAGUUAUGAGAUGGGAUCGUAAUCCGAUCCGGAGGGUACAAUGGUGAAAUUAUUAUAUAGUUUGAUACUUUGAUAUCAUCAUAUUUUCAUAGCAAAAAAAUAUCAUCACAUUAUCAUUGUAUUUGUUUUAGUAAAAAACUUAAAUUUUCUAUAUACUAUUAUUUAGAAAAAAUGUAGAAAUCAAUCUAGACUAUAAUAUUCAUCGGUCAUAUAAUAAUAUUUCCUGUUUUAUCACACUCGAGAAGUUGUUUUUAGGCAGACGUUUAGUUUCACAAGUUCACACAGAGACAGAGAGAGUACUAGAAAACUGAGAAAUGAGGCCCAGAAAUUUGAAGCCACUGAUUAUGACACUGAACGCGUUUUCUAUCUGGCCUCGUUGACUGGUCACGUUGAAGUGAAGUGUGAACCUAACCGCUUAAAACGACAUCACCAUUCGUUAACGUUGUCUAAUUGCCUUAUUAUUUCCCACACUCUUUCAACGUCAUUCGGUACUCUUUUUUUCUGCCUCUUUUUAAGUAUUUCAACCUCAGAGGCCCACUGCAUUUCCAAACUCUUGUGGACUCGGGACCCUUCCCCUGUGAUAUCUUUCUUAAAAAUUCAUUACUGUGCAAACAAGUGUUUUUAAAUCUGAUAUGCGUCUGAUACACGGUUUAACAAGCCUCCUAGACCAAGACUAGAUUCGGAUGCGGAAGGGAAGUUUUGAAGCAGAGUCAGUUCAGAGAUUAUAAGGAGUGAUCAAACAAGUCAAGUCUUUGUGCUUGUUUCAAAAGGCGUUAGAAAGAAUUGGUCUCACUUUCUCUUAGGGCCAGAUAUGUGUGUAUUUCUUGGUUUCCCACUCCCUCUUUCAUCUUCCGUAGUCAUCUUCUAAUUCAACUGGGAGGAGUAUAAAAACAAGUCAGACAAACUUGAGCUUAAUUUACAGUUCAGAGAAUCAAAUCCUAGUUGAAUUCUGUUUGCUUUUAGAUCAUAGACGUACUGGGUGACUGAGGAAGGAUGUGUGGAGUUUAUGAAUUUGUAUCAUUGCUUUUGUUUUGUCACCUUAUGCCACUUCUAUUGGCGGCGGCUUGUCCACCUCUGCUUUCUUGUGGAGAUCUUGGCAAUAUCAGUUUCCCCUUUACUACAACAGAACGCCCCGACUGUGGCUUUUUACCCAUACGGAAUUGUGAAGAUCCACUCAAGUUCAAAAUGAUCCAAUUACAGAAUAAUGGAGAAUGGUUUCGGGUUGUACUCGUAGCUCAGCUUCGGAACAGUUCUAUCAUAACUUUUCAAAUUAGAGACAAACAUCUCUAUGACCUUCUGCAGAACGAAAGUUGUGAAGCUUUCAGAUACAAUUAUACUAUUCCUCCCUUCUUUCACUUUGCUGCUUUACGUAUCCAAUACCACACAACUCUGUUCAGGUGCAACCGCAGCCUCCAUGUCAGCCCUCCCACGGGCAUGCUUAAUUAUACAAAAUGCCCCGACUACGAUCUCUACUACAAGCACAUCAUCACGGCUGAUGAUGUGUCUCGGAGUUCUUUGGUGGCAUGUACAGAGGUCCAGCUUCCAAUUAAAGACGUGCCUGACGCUAUAAACCCAUUUACCUUUGUAACUGCAGAUAUCAUCAUUCGAGUAGACUUAACUGAUGAAUGUGCAGAUUGCAACUAUCGCCAUGGAGGGCAGUGCAAACUUGACAGCACAGAGAAAUUUUGUUGUGCCAAUGGUAUAAAACAACAAAAACCCUGAAAACAGAAGCACCCACGAAUGCAAUGCACUAAUCCUUGUUGCUUUUAUCUGCUUUUCCCAUUUUAGGUUCUUAAAUGUUUCCUUCACAAUUUGUGAAACAUUGUCUACUUUUCUGUAAAUGUCCCAAGCCCAGUUCCUUCUCCUACAUCAUAAACAGAAUAAAAUAUUCAAAAUAGGUCAAGAAAAGUGACAUUGAUGAUGUGCCUAAUCUAAGUUCUCUUCUUGUCUUAAAAUUUCAAAUGUACAGUUUACUACACUUAGACGGCAAGGUCUGAGUUGCUCUGAUUGAUUGUCUAAUGUCUAAUAUUAUUGGUGCAACAGUCACAAUUAGCAUGCCAUAUUUUUCUCUGCUUAACUUUAUCGUCACGCUUCAAAUCUGUGUUAUUUGCUAAAUUGUUUCUUCUAAUUGCAGCAGUUAUAAAGAAAGGGUUGAGUUUGAAGGCCAAACUGGGUAUAGGUAAUGUACUGUUUACAUAACUUGAUAUUCCUUUUCAACAUAUGACUUCAAAAUCACUGAUCCUCAGUGCGAAAGUUCAUUUGUGUGUUGAACUCAGAGGGUCUGCUGAUUUCUUUUCUUUUAAUUCCCUUAUUUCCCCCUCAAAAAACAUGAGAACUUAUUUAAAAAAUUUGUAUAACUCUAUGUCUCUAUCAAUGCUCAUUGCUAUCUAUCAGAAAAGUAGCAGCAGUCACGCACUCUGUUAUUUCUCACGGUAUCUUCAAUUGAUAUUUUCUCUUGGCCCGUUUGCACAGGUUUAGGUAUUGGAAUCCCAAGCAUGUUGGCAAUUGGGUUGCUGUUUCUCUUUCUACAAUACAAACGAAAAUAUGGUACCUCAGGCGGACAAUUGGAGUCAAGAGAUUCUUAUUCUGAUUCCUCCUCAAAUCCUCAUGGAGAAAGUAGUAGCGAGUACUUUGGAGUUCCACUCUUCUUGUACGAGCAGCUUAAAGAAGCGACGAACAAUUUCGAUCACACCAAAGAACUUGGAGACGGAGGCUUCGGUACUGUCUACUAUGGUAGGAUACUUAAUCAAACCCUACUUGACACACAACAUUACUCUCCUUGUAUGGUUUGGAACUACUACAUGCUCAUUGGUCCUAGUCAAUCUCCAAGUAUCCAGGGUCCGGAACUACUAUGUGUCUGUGGUCCUGGUCAAUCUCUAUAACACGCAUAGAAGAGUCUUAUCACUUCUUUCUCAAAAUUGAAAAAACUCAGUUAAAUAUCAUAGAGAUUGGACAGAACAAUGAACAUGUAGAGAUUAAUUGGAAUGAUGAAUGUGAUAGUCCUGAACUAUAUAAUAAUUUCUUGUCUUAUUUUUGCUGUAUAACUGAGAUAUUUAAAUUAAAACACAGGGAAACUCCCAGAUGGACGUGAAGUUGCCGUGAAGCGCUUAUACGAGCACAACUGGAAGCGAGUAGAACAGUUCAUAAACGAAGUUAAGAUCCUCACACGUUUGCGUCACAAAAAUCUUGUGUCACUCUACGGCUGCACUUCACGGCACAGCCGUGAACUCCUACUUGUGUAUGAAUACAUUUCAAACGGCACUGUAGCGUGUCAUCUCCAUGGUGGAUUAGCGAAGCCUGGCUCCCUACCAUGGUCUACACGAAUGAAAAUUGCCGUAGAGACUGCUAGUGCAUUGGCUUAUCUCCACGCCUCUGACAUCAUUCACCGUGACGUGAAAACAAACAAUAUUCUCCUCGACAACAACUUUUGUGUUAAGGUAGCAGAUUUUGGACUUUCAAGAGACGUCCCCAACGAUGUCACACAUGUCUCCACAGCUCCACAAGGGUCCCCAGGUUACCUUGACCCUGAAUAUUACAAUUGCUAUCAGCUUACUAGUAAGAGUGAUGUGUAUAGUUUUGGGGUUGUGCUUAUUGAGCUAAUAUCAUCCAAGCCCGCUGUUGAUAUGAACAGGAGCAGGGAUGAGAUUAACUUGUCAAAUCUAGCCGUAAGGAAGAUUCAAGAAAGUGCAGUUAGUGAGUUGGUUGAUCCUUCUCUUGGUUUUGAUUCAGAUUGUAGGGUUAUGGGGAUGAUAGUUUCAGUGGCAGGGUUGGCUUUUCAGUGUUUGCAAAGGGAAAAGGACUUGAGACCUUCUAUGUAUGAAGUGUUACAUGAACUGAGGAGAAUUGAGAGUGGGAAGGAUGAGGGAAAGGUUCGAGAUGAGGGUGAUGUUGAUGGUGUUGCAGUUUCACAUAGUUGUGCACAUUCACCACCACCAGCCUCACCUGAGUGGGAAGAAGUUGGAUUGUUGAAGAAUAUAAAGCCUACUUCCCCAAACACUGUCACUGAUAAAUGGGAAAGUAAAUGUACUACGCCUAAUAUCAGUGGUUAAUCAUUUAGUCUAUUAUUAAUUGUUGAUAAUCCGUUUUUAGUUUUUACUAUAUCAACUUUCACCUCAUUAUUAGUUGAGUCACAGUAUAUUAUCGUCGCAUUCGCUUGUUUAAUUGUGAAGGGUAUGAUUAAAUUAUACGGCCCAUUGUAGUCAAGCAAAGAGUUGAAGUGAGGGUAUGACAUGUGAAUAUUAGAAACACCGGUACAAAAAUACGACCAACAAUUUCAAACGAAGUUAUUGACAUGAAUAAGGGUUUUCAUUUCCUACUUUUUUAAGAGAAUCUGACGGUAGAGAGCAAGUUGAGUCAGAGUGUAAGCAAACUGGUAAAUGUUAAAAAUCGUUGCAUUUUGUAAUCAUAAAUGACGUUUUGUGGUGGCAAUUCUUUACGGGCAAAAAUGGAAUCAUUGUUAACUCUAAUCAUUUAACAAUCACAUUUUUGUUAGACAAAAAUGGUUCAAUUGUGACAUGUCUGAAAUGAGAGAGCAUAAAUCGACAUUUUAAAAAUGAGAAACUAUUACACAAAUUUUUCUAUAUUUAUAAUAAUAAAAACAUGUUUAAAUUGGUUUGUUACAUGAAUUAUUGGUACCUUUAAGCACCCUUAAUAGAUGGGCCAAUAUCCUUGUGACUUUGGGUACAUUGAUUAACACCAUUAAGCAUUACUUGAAUUGUAUGGACAUGAAGGAAAUCUUACCAUCUUUAUCUGUUGAGCUUCAAAUGGUUGUCUGACCAAAAUUUCCACCUUUAAGGGCAAUGAAGGUAUUCUUGUUAACUCCCGUCCUGUCCUUGUGGCAAUAUGCUGUAUCGUCCAUAGGAGAAUUUGAAUGGAAAACACGGUGGGUCAUGCAUCACUACUGGGAUAACGAUUUGUAUCUACCUCUUUUUUUCUCCAAGUCUCCCACGCUCAUUUCCCUAGUCAAGUUGUUGUUAAGAGAGUUCAUUACUUGUUCCUCGGAAAAUUGGGAAAUUGGGAUGGCUCCGGUUGAUUUGUUCUGCUUCCCCUUGUUUUCUUUCCUUCUACUCAUCCUGCGCGAUACCAGAGGCAUUCUAUCGUUUGUGUCUGCUGAGAUUGUUCUUGAAGUAGUAUUAUCUAAUGAUUGUUAUGAGUGCUAUAAUCUCCGUGGCUUGACAAGGAUAAAACGUUCAACUGUACUCAAGGUACCCUUGGCAUAAAUUUUUCAUAAGUUACCUCUUAUUCCAUUUGAUUGCUACAAUUCCUUGUUAGUUGUUCUUAUAGCGUUAGACCGGAUUAGUGAGUUUGCUGACUGCUAACUUGGCUGCUUUAUGUUAAUUACUGGCAUCAUGACAAUAGAAUUUGUUUCACUGUAACACUUUAUUGCUCUAUAGUCUACCUACAAAAAUUCUUCAAUUUAACUAUAUCUGCAGAUGAACAGCAUUAUAGAGUAAACAUGUCAUGCUGUUACUUCUACUUGUAAUAGUUUUUAUGAUAAAGAAAAAAUAAAAGAGAUACAAAAAGGAAAUAAAAUUAAAUUUAUAACUAUCAAAUUAUGCAAAUUAAUUAGUAGUUAAUACACACAAAUCUAAGAGUGAGAAAAUAACGAAACAAUACAAAUAAAAUUAUAUUUUAGAAAAUAAAUAAUUUUUUUAACAAAAAAAAAAUAAUUUUAAGAACUUUAUAAACACAACUUUUAAAUCAAGUUUCAAAGCUGUGUUUUUUUUAAAUAAAUAAAUAAAUAAAUCUGAUUUCAAUAUUAAAUAUUAAUUGUUAAUAUAAUUACAUAAAUAAAAAGAGUAGAUAAUGGUUAGUGGGUGGUUACAACAUUAUGUGAUUUUAGUUUUAGUUGAGGGGGUAAAAUAAUAAAAUGAACAUAUAAACUAAAAUUUGUUCAAAAUUUUGUAUUUCUUAUUUGUUCAUGAUUUGUUUACUUUUGGUUUAAUAAUGAAAAGGUUGUUUAGUGUGUUUUUCAAAAAUAAAAUGAUCUACCAGACCAAAUAUCAUUAUCAAAGGUAAUAUUCUCUGUCUAUUGUAAUAUAUAUUAAAUAUUAAUAUUUGAUCUUUUUCAAGAGAGAUUAAUACACUAAUCAAGUAUGCAAUGCUAUACGCGACUGCCCGUUAUAAUCACUAUAUAUGAUCAUAAUAAUAAUUUGCGCGUAAUUUUUUUUUUUUUGAAGCAAUCUGCAAUCCUAAUUCCAAAAAUAGAUUAUAAUAAAGAAUAAUAACUAUUCGACAUGAAUGCGGCCUAUGGACAUGACCUUAACUGGCCUUACACUAUAUAUGGUCCUGUCUUUUGAUUAAUUUUUUCUUCAUUCAUAAAAUUUAAAUUUGAGAAUUCACUAAAAGUAAUUAAUUAAUUCUUUUUUGUAUUAAAAUUAGUUAUAAAUAAAAUUGGUAAACACUAUGCACCAAUAAUAUAAUUAAACAAAAAUUAUAACACAAAAAGAGUAUUGAUUAUGAUGUUAAUACUUGUGUAGAACAUAAUUUGACUUUAGAUUGGGUUGGAGGCGUAAAAAAAAAAAACAUUGUUAAUGAAUAGGUAACAAUGACAAGAGACCAAUUUAACUUUUUGGAAUUUUCAUCUGAUUUUAAAAUAAUCAUUUAUGUAUUUUGAUGGUUCAAUUGUUGAGUUGGUAGCCUUAGAUUAUUUUUCAUUUUGUAAGGCCUGAGUUUUCAUUUAAAGCAAGAUCUAUCAAUGAGAGUUAUUAUGUUUGAAGGUAACAUAAAAAAAAGAUGCAAAAGGGUUGAAAAGUAAAUUCAAUGUAAAUAAGAUCUUAUUGAAGAAUAAUAAUGCCUAUAAAUAAGCAUUGACCUUUGUUUACAAGAGAAGAUCCUUUGAAUGUACAUUUUAACAAGUAAUUUUUGAGGAAAUGGGAAUGAAUGGAAAUGGUUUGUCCCAAGCAUAGUUGAAUACGGUGACACCUCUGAAGAGGGGUUGACCAUUGCUAACAAGACAAACAUUACCGGAAAUUUUCAAAAAUUGAGGGUCUAUUGGUUCAACAGAUUGAAAUCCUUUACAGUUUAACAUCACAUUCGAUUGGUAACAUGAACACCAAUUCGCAAUAGUCACACUCCAUUCUUUCUUUCCGUGUAUUGUAGCUCCUGUUUGUUUUUGACUUAUGUGGAUGUCGUGCAACGAGCAUUGGCUGUAGCCUAAAAAUAUGAUGCAUGGGAUAAGUUAUGAACAACAAUUUAUAUGAAAAAAAAAGUAACACUAGGAGCAAAUUUUACCUUUCGAAACGAGGGCAAGGAAUAAAAUUAUGUUGAGAAUCUUGAUGAUUGAAUUAGUCAUUUUAGAUAACACAAAUGCAAUGUUCGAUUCUUGAAUUUGUUUAGGCAAAGAAUAACACUAUAUGUUGUGUAUUAUUUAUACAUAUGAGACUUUAUAAAUAAAUUACAUGUGUAUCAAUAAUCAAUUGGAAAUUUUAUUUUGUCAACAAAAUUGGAAAUUUGAUAUUUUUUUCCAUCAUUGGAGUAGUAAUAUACAAGAUAACUAUGUAUCUUUGUGUUGUGUGAAGAAAUUUGAGAUUUUUUUUCAUCAUUGGAGUAAUAAUAUACAAGAUAACUAUGUAUCUUUGUGUUGUGUGAAGAAAUUUGAGAUUUUUUUCCAUCAUUGGAGCAAUAAUAUACAAGAUAACUAUGUAUCUUUGUGUUGUUUUAAAAUUUUGAGAUUUUUUUCCAUGAUUGGAGCAAUAAUAUAUAAGAUAACUAUGUAUCUUUUUGUUGUGUGGAGAAAUUUGAGAUUUUUUUUCGAUCAUUGUAGCAAUAAUAUACAAGAUAACUAUGUAUCUUUGUAUUGUGUGAAUAAUAUCGCAAAUAUAAAAGGUCAAAUUAUUUAAAACGAAGAUAAAUGGUAGAAAUUUUACAACUAUAAGAUCAAAUUAUUUAAGCUUAUAUACAUUUUUCAUAUAUGUAAUUUAAUUUUUUUUUUUUGUAUUUUUUUCUUGUAAAAUAUGUUUAUUUUGAUUUUCAUCUUUAAAGCUCUUUAGAUAGUGUUUUUUCACCAUUCAAAAUAUUUUUUUAAAUGUUCAAAACAUUAUUUAAAGCUCUUUAAAGUUGAAAAACAAAAUAAAUACAUUUUACAAUAACUAAAACAAAAAAAUGUAAGAUAAAAAAUAAAAAAAUUCUAAAUUAUAAAGACAAGAAAUUUAUUUAAGCCAAUUAUUUAAAAGCUUAAAUUAGUUUUUUUAUGUAAUUUAUUAUUUUUAUUCAAUUUGAUUCUCUAUUUUUUUAUUCAAUUCGAUAUUCUAAUUUUUAAAAAAGGUUCGAUUUUAUUUUUGUUGUCCAUUUUGUUUGUGUUCACUAAUAGAUAGACGAGGUUAAUGAAAUGGUUCUCCUAUACAAUAGCCACAUAGAAUCCAAACUUAAGAGUGUUAGACAAAAUAAACAUAAGGACUAAAAGGAUUUAGGAUUUUUUAUAAAAAAAAUCAAAUGAUCAAAUUAAACUAAAAAAAUAUUAAAGGUUCUAAUUCAAAUCAAAGUAAUAAAUUUGAGAAAAAUACUAAUCAACCUAUUUAUUUAAAACCAAGAGAGAUUGUAGAGAUUUUGUCAAUACAAAUUUUUUAAUGACUGGUUGCUAUAAUAUUGCCUUGGAGUAAGAAAGGUGUUAGAGAAAUUGUAGAGAUUUGCUCAAUACUACUUUUAAUAUUUAUAACUACAAAAUUACCUUGGAGAAAAAAAGGUGUUUUUAAUCUUUAAUCUUUUAUGUAAUAAAGAAGAAAUUGCAUAGAUUUAGUCAAUACACAUUUUUUUAUUAUUUAUUGCUACAACAUUGCUUUAGAGAAAAAAUGUUUUUAAUAUUUUAUAUAAUAAAAAAGAAAUUGCAUAGAAUGAGUCAAUACCAUAUAUUUUUCAUGAUUUAUUCUACUAUAUUGCCUUUGAGAAAAUAUAUAUUUUUAUAUUUUUAAACAAAAAAUAAAUAAAUUUGGUUCAAAUUCCUGGUCUCAAAUAAGAAAAACUUUAAGUAGUUGUUUAUUUUUUUAUUUAAAAUUAUGUUAAUGUCUAAAUUCAUUGAUAUAUUAAGUCAAAUUUUUAAUUAAACUAGUCAUCAAAUCAAUAGAUACUUCACAUCACUAAUAUAGUAAGCUUAAAAAAAUAUUUACAGUUUAUUUUAUAAUAUAUAUAUAUAUAUAUAUUACAUAUGUAAUAUUUAAAAUAUUUAUAAAUUUAUUUAAAAUAUAAUGCUGUAAUGUAAUAUUACUUUUGAUUUAUAUAUAUAACAGAUUAGUUUCAAAGAGAACAUGUAAUACUCAAGAGAAAAAUAGAAAAUGCAAGAGGACUUAUUAUCUUUUUAAUCCUUAAAUUUUUUAAUAAAAUUAUUUUUAGUCCCUUAACUUUUUUUCAUUCUUAUUUUUAAGUCUCUUAACCCUUUUUAACCUUUCUUUUAAUCUCUAAAUGAAUGGAAAAAAAGUAAGAAAAAAACAAAUUAAAGACUAAACAUAAAGCCAACCAUUUAGAGAUUAAAAACAAAAAUCUUAAAAAAGUUUAUAGAAUAAAAAGAUAAAUAAUUAACCCAAAACGAAAUCAUGUAAUAUUUUUUUUAAAAAAAUAUUGAGCUUCACUAUGGUACAAAGUUGUAUAUAUUUUGUGGCUCUUGGGCAUAAUUAUCUCUAGAGUUAGAUUUAGUUAUUUUAAGGGGGGAAAAUCUUAAAAGAUGAUAGAGAAUGAAUUCCACGAUUGAAUAAUAAUAACAAUUAUAUAGCAAUGAUGAUUGUUGUUUAUUGAAAGCUUGUGGGUAUGAUACACAAAAGAAUAGAAGCACAUAAUUGAUAAUAUUCAUCUUCUAAUUUUGCCGGAUCAACUAGUUAACUUGAAAUUGAAGAGCGAUUAAUAUGUUUCACCCUUCAUAACUUAUAAGUACAUGUUGAUAACAAAAAAUAGCAUCUUCAAAUGACAAACACAUUAAAUUUAUUUUAAUCAUUUUGAAAAUUAUGUAUUUUAAAAAAUAUUGGGCUUCACUAUGGUCACAAAGUUGUAUAGAUUUUGUGGCUGUUGGGCAUAAUUAUCUCUAAAUUUAGAUUGUUAUUUUAAGGAAAAAAAAUCUUGAAAGAUGAUAGAGAAUGAAUUCGGUGAUUGAAUAAUAAUAACAGUUAUAUAACAAUGAUGAUUGUUGUUUAUUGAAAAAGCACAUAAUAUUCAUCUUCUAAUUUCAUCGGAUCAACUAGUUAACUUGAAAUUAAGGAGCAAUUAAUAUGUUUCAUCGCUCAUAACUUAUAAGUACAAGUUGAUAACCAAAAAUAAUACCUUUAAAUAACAAACACAUUAAAUUUAUUUUAAUCAUUUUGAAAAUUAUGUAUUUUAAUAAAGAAAACAAGACAAUGUAAUAAAAAGUUAACUACUUUACCAUCUCCGUUAACAACAUACUUUUUUUUAAUCACGUCUCGUUGAAGAUUUUUACAUAAAAAUAACAAUUGCUAGUCUCUCGUACAAUACAUGUACAGGUGAAAUAUAAAUUUAUAACGUAAUUAAAAAAAUCUCCAUUAAACACGUAUACUUUAAUUAUAGAAGCUUAUUUUUUGAAAACUAUCCCUUAUAUAGAGUUAUAGUAAGUUAGUGUUUGGACGUAUUGUGCUGACAAAAAAAAUUAAUUGUCGAUGAAGACGAAGACAGGAUGCGGAUGACUAAAAAAACAAAACCCAAAGGCAAAGGUAACCCAGUGAGGAGAUAAAUUAUUGUGCAGAAAAAACGCAUGACAGCUAAUCCAACAAUUAUUUGGUAAUAAAUAAAGUUAUUAAAUACAUUAAUAAUUAAUUGAUAAUGAUAUUCAUAUAUUUCAUUCUGUUAUGACUAUUUUUUUUUUUAUUUCUCUUUGUCUUUUCUAUUGCAUCACAUAUUAUAUAUAUUAUUGAUCCGUUUGUUAAACUUUACUAAUAUUUUUUAAAUAAAUAUUUUUAAUGUGUUAUUUUUUCUAAAAAAAUAAUUUUUUUUAAUUUUUAAUAAGGAAAUUUUAUGUUUUUUCAAAAUCAUUUUUUUCGAUUAAAAAAAACAAGAUGGACCCAUUUUUUUUGUUUAUUUAUGUAUUUUACUUUCCUUUAUCUCUUCUCUCUCCAUUACAAUCCACCCUAAAAAUGGAAGUGGACACUUAUAAUUUUCCUUAAUUAAUAUGAAAAUAAUUUAUAAACACCCAAAUGUCAACUGACGAUAAUUUUUUUAAAAAACUUGAUUAUUGAGUUGUCAAAUAAUUUUUUUGUCUAAUAAAAAAUAAAAAUGAACUAAAAUAAUUUAUUAAAUAUAACCUGAAUGAAUGGAUGAGUAAUAUUUUUUUAUAAUUACUGUAAAUAGAAUAUUUAGUUUCUUAAUAAAAUCCUGACAUAUACUUACAAGUGUUGACUCUUUAGAUAGGAGUUAUCCGAUUAAUCAUAAGUCAAAAGCUUUAAUAAUACUUAAAGAUUAUCAUCUCUUUCAAAAAAUGUAUUAAGUCAAACUUAAUUUUUUCUUACAAAUUCAAAGUUUUGUUAGCAUCUGAAUUACAUUGAUGGAUGAAUAUUUAUUGUAACCUUACUAACAGACCGGUUCUAAUGGAUUUCUCAAAAUAAUAAUCACAUUUGAUUUAAAAAAAUUAUUUCUACGAUAAAUUAUUUUAAAAAAUAUAUGAAUAAUAAUUUUUUAUUAAAUAACUAUGAGGUUGGGGUCGGAUUUUUUCCGUCAAAAGUGAAAUUUGAAAUCGAAAUGAAAUGAUUAAUAUUCGGCUUGAACUCAUGCCUUGUCCCCGGUAAUAAUUAAUUUAUAAAAUAUUAUAUAUAUAUAUAUAUAUAUAUAUAUAUAUAUAUAUAUAACACUAAAAUAUAAAACUAUUAAAUUAAAUUUUAUGUUAUCAUAUAUAUAAUUUAAAAAUAUAUUAUAAUUAUUAUUUAAAAUUAUAUUUUUUAAAAAAAAUUUAUAAACACGUCCGGAAUGGGACAUGACUGGGAAAAUCUAACCCCAUCAAGAAUAAGGAUGGAGAUAAAUUUACACCGACUUAAAUUUUGAAGACAGGAGCCCGGCGAGGAAAAACUAAGAAGUGGAGACAAAGGUGGGAUAAACAAGACCCCACAGUCCAUUGCUAUGCCUGGAGAGAAAAGAAGGAAAGGUUGGUCAAGUGAGGUCUGUAACUGCAAAUUAAAGCUGCCAAACAAACAAGAAGGCAUCAUGCCAUCCCAGAAACAAAUGCAAACCCCUCCAACACCUCUCCCUUUCAAUUCACCAAUUCCCAUACUAACAUAACAUUUCUUUAUUUAUUCACACAUCAUAACAGUUAUAAACACAUUGCUUAAAGAACUUCAAAUACCAAUUUUCUUUUGUCGGAAGCAACAAAAUAAUACUGAUUAUUUCACCUCCAACUCCAAAUCUGCUUGUUUCUUGCACACAAUUUGCCGUGGUCCCCACCACAAAGUGUUUGUUUGUUUCCUCAAUUCAAUUUUUCCUUGUCCAAAUCCAAGGAGAUUUGAUUAUGAAACCCAUUGUCACUUCGUUUGCGGAAAUUGGUCUCUUGCUUAGGUUGUAUCAUGUAUGUCCAUCUCACUUUCACACUUGCUGUCUGCUAUAGCAUGUUUUUCCAGUUCUCACUCCUCCCUCCCUCACUGUAUUUUACUCCUUUUUUCUUGUAAAAUAGAAAGAAAUAAGGGGUAGCAGCUAUUUGUUUUGUUUUUCCCUCUAGGGGAAGGAAAUAGUGAAACAAAAGUUUAAAGAUACCGACUUUUAACUGAAACAGAAUGUGAGGGUGUUUGCUAGAUAGGCUUUAUAACUCUCAGUAAAAAGCCACUUUCUUCGUUCCAUGAAAAAUAGCUUGAUCCCAUGCUCUACUACGCCAUCGAAAUCUCGUGUCCCUCUAUGGCCGCACUUCACGUCAACAGUUUAUGAAUUACACACUUUCUAACUUCGACCAUUUUUUUCCAAAUACUGUUUAGAAUUAGAAUAUAUAAAUAACAUUUAGUAGUCAACCAAAUAGUUUUCUUGUUACAUGUAAUAGCUUUUUCAGAUUGGAUGUUCCUUGUUUGAUCACUUUUGACGUGUGGGAUUUUCAAAAUAAUUGGUGCGGAGACGAAAACGCUGACUAUCUCAACCAAUGGUUUUAAUCUUAGAUAAAUAAAUGGGCACCACAAGAUUAACCAGAAUUGAAAUACAUAAUUAUUUUAGCUUAAUUGAUAGUUUUAAAUUAAUGUUUUGAAUAUCUAAUUACAUUAAUAUUCGAAAGCAACUUUUGUUGUCUAUAAUAAUUAUUAAUUAAGAAAAUAAAAGUCAAAUAUAUAUAAGGGUGUCUAUUAAAAUAUACUAAUUGCUGUAAAAAUUAAUAUUUAUUAUGCGUGAAAGUUAUUCAAUAACUAGUUAAAUCUAUUCAAAUAAGAAUAUAGUAUUAAACACAUUAAUUUUUUUAGCAAUUGUUAAGACUUUAGGGUUUAGAAGUCUUGAGUGGUUCAGGACCAACAAGGUGCACGAAAGUGUUAUUCACAGUUUCACAUUUGAUCGAUCUGUAUAUUAUCAGAAGAAGCGAUGCUCGAAAGUCAAAUUCCAAGAAAAUAAAGUGUUCGGCAUUUCCACACUUUAGUAUAACUAGUCAACCGCUGAGAAUCAACAAGAAGUGAGUAGUCAUGCAAUCAAGUUAUAUACGUAUUGGUCCGACUUUGACCUGAUACUAAGACUCGGGAUACAGUGGGAAACUUUGAGAAUAUUUCUCGUUGUGGGAAAUAAUUUUAAGGUCUUUGAUAUAUGAUUUUUAAAUAGAAUAGGGUAACUCUAUUGUGUAUAUUCACUUAUAAAUUCAGGCGUUUAUGGUCUAUUAUUUUAAUUUUUGUUUCAAUUUGUACAACACACAGGAUGAUUAAUUAAUUAUCUCAAGAUAUUGAUUUUGAUGAAAAACUAAAAUUAUAUAUUUAUGUCACAUAAGAUUCAAUGCUUACGGACUUUUCCUAUCGAUCGGGACCACACUCUUUAGGAUUCACACCAUAAUAAGACUUAAUGCUUAGAGAAUUGUGUACAGCCGAGACAACAUUCUCAUACGGCUCACUCACCUUAAGGAGACUGACUCUUGGGCAUGGGGAGUUGAAACCAUGGCCCGACUCUCAUGAUCGAAAAAUUGAAGCGAUAGUGAGUAUUGUAUGGGAUCAAACUCUGAAGAUGUGAUGACAGGGUCAGAUAAAUACCACGAUAUAACAUGCAUGUAAGUCACACACAACUAUGCAACCCAUACCAUUUACUAAGAGACAAGAUUGAAUCCACACAAUCACGUGGUAAAAAAGGACCAAUGAGAUCAUUAUGCAUGGACAUCAUUGUUAGGUGUCAGGGGAGCACCAUGUAUAAUUAGAGAUGAAUUAAAUGACUAAUAUCAGAUUCAUCGUUAGACAAUUAAAAAGAUUAUCUCAUUUUUAUUUUAAUUAUUAUUUUUAAGAGUUGAUAUAAAAAAGUAAAAUUAAAAACAUUUUCUUUAAAGAGACGGCGCGCGUUAAGACUUGUGUAAUAAUUUUCCCAGUCAACUUGCGUAUCAACUGGUUGAAAAAAGAUUGUUAUAUAGCUUGAGGAAGUGACCAACAAAUUGUGAGACACGAUUGCCGAAAUAUAAACAGUAUAGGCAGUUUUGGAGUCCAUAAGAAUAUUUUCUUGACUUGAGGAUGACACAAGGUGUUGUGCUUCUGUCAGCUGGAAAUGUCAACGGUUUAUGUGAUCCUUUUGUUUUCUCAUCUAACGGCGGUGCUUCUGUCAGCCGGGAAUGCAAACGGGCACCAUGAUGAGUGUCCAGACUCAUUUGAUUGUGGAAGUUUGGGCAGAAUUUACUUCCCCUUCACCACGGUACAAUACCUGAACUGUGGUGCUUUGGCUAUCCAUGGUUGUGAUGAUCAUAACCAAACGGCAGUGAAGCGUGUCCAGUUGAACAAUGGAGGGAAACUGUUCCAAGUUACACAAGUUAAUAGUCAUCAGAGGCAGGGGUGGAGAACUAGUAUUUCCAUUACCGAUCAUGAUUUCAGAAUGCUUCUGGUAAAUGGUAGUUGUAUGGCCUUCACCUACAACAUUAUCUUCCCUCCCUUCUCUGCUUUCGGUUAUUUUGAUAUGAAAAACAAUAUAACCUCCUUCAAAUGCAGACACAAUCAAACAGUCAACCAUACAAAUGACUUCAUCAACUAUACAGGAUGUCCUUCCUCUGAUUUUUACUUUGCCCCUCCAUACUCUGAUUAUGAGUCUUUGCGCUCCUUAAUCUCUUCAUGUUCAAUGGUUAAACUUCCCGUGAGACAAGAUUCUCAGUUCUUCAAAGAUCCAUUUGGAUUUUUAACUGCUGAAAUUACCUUUGAAUUCAAGUUUUCAAAUGAAUGUCUCCAGUGUUACCAUGGAAGAAGAGAUGGCAAUUGCCGACUUGACAGCAAGGGAAAUUUUUAUUGCGCCAACAGGUAAAUACCUUAACAAAAAACUUGUACAAACAGUUAAUGGUUGCAUGAAUAUUUAUGUAUACUACCAGAUUUAAUUUUUACAAUCUGAACUGCUAAAAAACAAGUUAACUCCGUAUGUUUUUCCCCCUCAGCACAACAGUUAAAAUUUAGAAAAUUAAUUCCUGCUUGAUUACUUCUAUAUUUAAGCGACUUGACUGUAUUGCAGAACUUUGUUUUGUUAGCUUGACAGUUAAAGAGGCUCGCUGUACUUUUUCCUUAUCUAACUGGAUCAAUUGCUGCUUUUAAAUGAUGCAGGAAAGCUAGAGUUUGGACCCGGAUUCGGAAGCUAGCAUUGAUGCUAGGUGACGUACAAAUUUUUAAUAUUCAAAUACAUCAUGCUUCUAAAUUUUAGUUACUCAGAAUAUUAGUUUUAGUUUUUAUCAAAGUUUAAUAUGAUUUUAGUUCUUAUAUUUACUGCUGACUAAACUAAAAAUACACGUUUCCUGGUAAAUGUAUAGACGAAUAACAUUAAUUUUUUUUAUAAAAAUUAAACUGGUAUUUUAAAUUUUAACUGUCUUUCAAAUUUAUGUAGAACUCCAAAGUUAUGUAGGCGAAUAGGAGUAUUAGUUAUGUAGAUACAUUUGAAAGAUUAAACAAUCUUUAUUAGUAAUAUUCUUUAAUCAGAGACAUAGGUGAGCAUAACUCCUUUAAACUAACUAACCACCCGAGGAGUUUUUUCCCCUUCUUAGGUUAGUUUGUUAGUUAUAAGUUGGAAAAAAUAAAACAAAAUACAGUUAAAUCUGAGACUCUGUCAAUUGUGGAACUAAUUAUUGAAAAGCCGCAACCUUUGAACUUUGAAGGCACCGGCGUAGGACCAUGGAUCAUAUUUGGGUUGUUCCUCACGUUACGGCACUGCAAACGGAAAUAUGGCCAAUCCAGCAGCAACACCAGUGAUGAUCCCUACCCAAGUCGUGACACAGAGAGUGACAGGAUCUUCUUUGGGGUACCCAUCUUCUCCUAUAUGGAGCUUCUAGAAGCAACAAACAAUUUUGACUCCACUAGAAAGCUUGGAGAAGGAGGCUUUGGCACUGUGUACUAUGGUCAGCAUAUAAUAUACACUGUGUAGCUCAUUUCCAUUUUACACAUUAAUUAAAUAUACAGAAGUUUUCAAUCUUAUUGAUUCACUUAAAUUAAGAAUUGAUCUUUUAUAAACCAGGAACACUAAGAGAUGGAAGGGAAGUUGCAAUCAAGCAUCUGUUUGAGCACAAUUACAAGAGAGUGGAACAGUUUAUGAAUGAAAUUGAGAUCCUUACUCGCUUACGCCAUAGAAAUCUUGUGUCCCUUUAUGGUUGCACUUCACGUCACGGCCAAGAGCUACUGCUUGUAUAUGAAUACGUUCCUAAUGGCACUGUUGCUAGUCAUCUUCAUGGUGAUCUAGCAAGGGUUGGUUUGUUGACAUGGCCUAUUCGAAUGCAAAUUGCCAUAGACACUGCUUCCGCAUUGGCCUAUCUCCAUGCUUCUAACAUCAUCCAUCGUGAUGUAAAAACCAAUAACAUUUUACUUGACAUCAGUUUUUCGGUUAAGGUAGCAGAUUUUGGGCUUUCAAGAUUGCUCCCAAAUGAUGUAAGCCAUGUCUCCACAGCUCCACAAGGGUCUCCGGGGUAUCUUGAUCCAGAAUAUUUCCAAUUCUACAGGCUCACGGACAAGAGUGAUGUGUAUAGUUUUGGGGUUGUGCUCAUGGAGCUGAUAUCAUCCAUGCCAGCAGUUGAUGCAGCCAGGGAAAGAGAUCAAGUUAACUUGGCAAGUUUUUGCAUUAAAAAGAUUCAAAAAGGAAAGCUUAGUGAGCUUGUAGACCCAUCCUUUGGUUUUGAGUCAGACCAACAAGUUAAAAGGAUGCUAACUUCAGUGGCAGGAUUGGCCUUUCGGUGUGUGCUAGGAGACAAUGGAUUAAGGCCUUCUAUGGAUGAAGUUCUGGAAGCACUCAGGAAAAUUCAAAGUGGGAAUUAUGAGUCUGAGAAUCUAGAGAAAGGAGAUGAUGUUGGUGGUGGUGGUGUUACCUCUUCCACUUCCUCCACCGAACAAGUACACGUACUUCAACCACCACCAGCUUCACCGGAUUGGGGUCAAGCUGGAAUUUCAAAGAAUAAGUUACCAGCUUCGCCAAUGUCCUUGACUGAGAAACGGGAAAGUGAAUCUACCACGCCCAAUGUCAGUGGUUAAUUACAUUUUUGUCUAAUAAUAACCGUAGUUUUUCACGUUUUGGUAAAAAAAUAUAUAUAUGAAUGUAUUACCGAACUCUUUUUUCCCUUCAAUGUUCAUAGUUACUACUACAUUACAGUAAUGAUUGAUGCAGAGUCUCAAAGACGGGACAAAAAAGUAAGGAACCCAAGAAAGAAAGAAAAAUCAAAGGGAGAAGAAAAUUUCUGCAAGCUAUUUAAAAGAAUGUAACAAGUACUUAUUAAUUAAUAACUAUGUGUCGCAUAAAAUGAGUACAUUUGUUCUUAUGAGUCGCAAGAUCAUUCCGCCAAGUCAGCAACGGUGGAACAAGUAUUUUAUCGAGAGAAAAGAAGCGACAUCGGAAAACGGUUCGGUCCUACUUGUGAUUCCAUGGUGAUAAUCCAAAGUAUGAAAAGGAAAGUAAUGAAUGUGUAUGGAAGAAAAGAUGCAACCAUUCCCAAAAUAGAUCCCAUGCUUGUUAGAAGCAAUCAAUCACCUUUGUCCCCCUCACAAUCAUCAAUAUUCUGACUUUAACACUCUUUUAAUAGAGAGGAGAACAACAGAGAGAGACAGAUAGAGAGGGAGAGGGAAACAGAUAACUUAGGAGAUGGCAGCGUUGCAGAAAUUCAAGCUGUUCGCGACGCCGUGUGGAGUGGGGCAAAGCCCAAGGACGAGCCCAUUGAUUCAAUUCCGGCGGCAAGAACACGUGGUGGAGAAGAAUCCGAUGCGGAGACACUCACUGAAGGCCCUCUUUGUGUCCUCGGCGCCACCAGAGAAGCACGUGGCUGAAAAUGAAACUAGUCCAAUGUUGUUGGCUUCCGUUGCCGUUCCCCAUUGUUCUUGGGUCUGUUGGACCAAUUUCAUGGUUGCUUUUCUAUUUAAGUGUCCUUGAAUAUAAUUGCAUUUUAAUUUCCGUGAUCCUGCUGAGGCUGCUUCUAUGUGUAUUAGUUCCGUUAUGGCAUUUCGUGAUCAGAUAUUCACUUACGUACUACGUAUAUCAAUCUCUUAGAUUGGGAUGAAUGCUAAUAAAUUUAAAUGAUUUGUCUCGAUCUAACUUAUUGAAAAUCUUCUUUUGGGGCGGAGAAGCUGUUCUUUAUAGAAGAAAACAAAAAGGAAAAGUUGAAUUAGAAUUGUCUUAUGAGUUGGGAGAGGAGAAGAAUACUUUCAUAAAGCAUGAACAAUCAGUGUCGAGAUAAGGCUAACAUCAACAAACAAUGCCUUUGGACUUGUUUGGCAUUGAAAAAGCAUUUUACCUAAAAGCUUGACUGUUUUAGUUUUGAAACUGAAAAAAUGCAUUCACCCAGGCGGGAAUGAGAAAGUAAUUCUUGAUCGCCCAGAACAAUUAUUAGGUCAAUUUAUUUAUUAAAAUAUCUCUUUUGCUAAUCAUCUUUUAUCUUUAUUUUUUUUACAAAGAAUUAUUUUACCUUUUAAAAUUUCUAUUUUUUUAAGUAAGUUCUCACUGUUUACUUUUUUUCAAAACAUAAUAAUUACUUAUAUUUUUAUUUCUUAGGAAUGAAAUCAUAUCAAAUGCUCUACACUACAAUAAUAUGGGAUAUAUUAAUUUUAGCACAAUAAAAAUUAUUAAAUAUUAAAUUUAUCAUAAUAAAACUAGUUUUAAUAAAAUAAAUAACUUUUUGAUUUUUGUAGCGUAUUUCUCUACUCUGUUUUCGCUUACAAAAUAAUUUUAUAUUUAUUUUAAUAAAUAAAUUAUAUUUAUUUCUUAAAAAAAUUAUAUAAAAGUGUUUAUUCUAAAGUUAUUUUUUUUUAUUUUAAACAAAUUCAUUCGUUAUUUAUACACUAUUCUUGCAAUUAAAUUUUUCUCAAGCCUUUUUAAUGCAUCAUAUCAAAGUUUUACUUAGAUACAAAUACAAGAAGAUCCCUGUUUUAUACACAUAACUUAAACAUAAUUAUCUAAAAUAGCAAAAAAAAAAAAAAAACUCGCACAUAAGAUUGUGGUUUACCAAACAUUUGGUAUUAAAACUUAACGGCCUUGUCUAAAAAGAAGAAGUAACACCUUAAACGGCACCGGUUGUCAAAGCAAUAAGACAUUAGUUAAUUUAGUUCAAGUUAAAAAUAUGCCAAUUGACCCUGUUAUUAUCUUGUUACAAAUUUCCAUGUGUAAUUCCUCUAGGAAGUUAGAUUUCAAAGCAAACGAGUUAAUGAUAGGUAUUUAUUUUUUUGGUAUUGAACAGGGACAAAGCCCCAGCCACCUACAGAUCAGAUGAGAGUUUCAACUCCCACAACAUCAUUAAAAAGAAGAAUAUGGACGCCCCCCAAGAGAGAAGGACCAUGAUACCUAAGGAUAAGAAGUAAUUUAACAAAUAGUGAUAAUCGGCCUCAUGACUUGGCUAAUCAUUUGUGAUAUUAGCUGAUAUUCAGUUAAAAUAAAUAUAUUUAUUUGAAUUUAGGUGUAUAUUUAGUAGAUACAUACAUUUAUUUGAAUUAUUAUCUAGAUGCAAGUUGUUAGGAUUAUCUCUAGGUGCAUUUGAAAUGCUGUUACAUGCACCUAUUGCCGUAUAAAUGUACAACCUUCGGUUCACCAAUAAUACAUUCAAGAAUCACAUAUAUUUUCAUUCUUAUAUAUAGUCUAUUUGGAUUGACGUUUGUUGGCUUCAACGUGGAUCAAGUUGAAAAAAAAAAUUGCUUAUGCAUCAGAAGUUCUGAACGUUAAAAUGUAGGAAAAGGUGGAUCGCAAUAUGAUCGAGACACGCUAAUAGAAUUUUAAUAAAAACUUUUCUAUUGAUUUAAAAAUAAAAUUAAUUUAAAAACUGUUUGAGAUAAUAUACAGAAUCAUAAAAGUUUUGAAAAAAAAGUUAAUAAUUAUGCAAAUGCUGAUUUUAAAUAAAUUUUUUAGAAAAAUAAUAAUUACAAUGGAUUGGAAUGGAAGACAAAUAGGGACGGCUCUAGGUGUUUAUACUUUAGUUUUUUUUUCAUUUUACUUUAUAGCUUUAUGUUAUUCAAUACCAUCUUAAACUGAUAAGCACGUGUUAAGAUUAAAAAAAAAAAGAAAAAGAAACUGAUAAGCACGAGAAUACUGUCAUGUAUAUUGAACAAUUUGAUAGCUGUCCAAUAAAGGCUGUAGACCAUAUAUGUUCGACAAAAAAUUGGGCUGUGAAUGGGUGUCCAUCUACUGAGCCACACAUUUUACUGGACUAUUGAAAACGAUUACGCAAUUGGGCCUCGUAGGUUUAAGCUCAAUUUUUAUAUAUAUAUAUAUAUACAGUGACUAAUUUGUAAAGCAGUUUUUUUAAGAGUAUAUCUGAAGCAAUUAAUAUCUUAAUUAUACUAUUUUUUAAAGUACUAUUACAUGUUGGCACCAUAUGAUUAAUCUUCAAUCAUAUCAUUAGCAUAUAUGAGCCAUAUUAUUUCCACAUCAACCACAUUAGCCAUGUCAUUAAGGAAGUUGACAACAAAGGCCAAUCCUUACAAUAAAAAAUGUAGGCAUAGGUAGAGGUGGCAAAACAGGAUAUCCCACCCAAUGUGAGCUGGGCCAAUGUAGGUGGCGAGCUAUAACAAGCAAGGAAAUAAAAAAAAACAAAUUUAAUCCAGGUCUCUAAAAUGAAAGGUGGACCCUAUAAAAAAACAAGAGUUUUUAAGUUUUUGACAGAUUUUCACAUGUUAGCCCACAUUUGGAUCAGGCUAGAAUUUUGGUUUAAUUUGGACUCAAAAUUUAAAAUCUAUGCUCUAAAUUUUAGUGGAUGAAUUAAAUCAAUAUGACUAUAUGACUGAUCCAACUCAUUUUGUCGACGAUAAGUACAGGACUAACACUUAAUUUGUUUUAAACAAGCAUAACAACUCAAAUUUAUGCAAGUACUCAGGUAUAAGAAUUACAAAAUGAAUAGUUAAACCAUUGAUUAUUAUCUUUAUAAAAAUUAGUUAUCGACAAAAUCAAUAAAUAUUUUAUACUUAUAAUAGUAAAAAUAAGUCAUUUAUUAUUAUAUUUUAUAAUGUUAGACAUCUAUUUAUAAUAUAUAAAAGCUGAGUUAUAAUAUAUUAUGUUGUCAUGUUAGCGAAAAUGAUGUGGAAAAAGAAGAACAUUCUUCUAUCGAGUGAUAUUUCAAAAUCUUAUAUAAUACAUUUCAAUUGAGUGAUACUCACCUCCAAAUGUCUCAAUCUUUUGCAUUCCCUUCUCUGUACGUGCUCUUCAUCUCAAGGUUUUACACAUACAACUUCGUUCUCUCCUAGAUCUUCGGCGCAAAAGAACCUUCUGAAGUUCAAUCGCUUCAUUCAUUCGCAUCUCGCUUUCUUCAAAUUUUCAUCAAUAUUAGAGAUUCUACGUUCGCGAUUAUGAUGAUGAUGUUAUAGCAGCAGUAUUUCGUGAACCAUAUUCACAUCAAAGACCGAAUCGCAAGACCGAAUCGUAGAACCUCCAAUCAUAUAUGGCAACCGACUAUAACCUCAAUCAGACGAAUUUGGGGUUGUGCAAGCCUCUUCGCAUCAUAUCCCGAAUCGCACGACACUCCAUGAAACCUCAGUCAGACCCUCCGAAUCGUGCAACACUUGACGAAAACUCGAUCAAACGAAUUUAGGGAUGUGCAAGCAUCUUCACAUGAAAUACCAAAUUGUAGGACACUCCCCCAAUCACAGACACUUCAUGAAACCUCGGUCAGACCCUCCGAAUCGUGCAACACUCGACGAAAACUCGAUUAAACGAAUUUAGGGAUGUGCAAACAUCUUCACAUGAAAGACUAAAUUGCAGGACACUCCCCCAAUCGCAUAUUGCAUUGUAUAGUGAGAGCCUCUCCACAAUCACAUACUUCAAAGUUUUGGUCUUACACAUAGGCAAGACUUUUGAUACUGAAUUUUGUUGAUUUUUAUUUUCACUCUUGUGAUAUAUAUUAUUUUUCUGAUGCGUAGAUUUUCCCGUUGUGAAAAAUAAUUCUGCUAAAAAAUAUUCAAAAGAUAGAUGCAAAAAUAUGAAAAUAUGGUAGACACGGCAAAGACACAAUAUAACUUGGAAAGAAGAAAGCCAAAUGAUGGUAUGUAAACAAUUUAUAUUUUUUUCAUAUGCAAAUUGUUUUUGUAUUAAAUUGAAAUUCAAAUUCAAAUUAGUCAUUGGAAUUUAAAUUCAAAUCUAAUAGACAUGCACACAUACAUACACAUGUGUGAAAGUUGAACUAUUAGUGUUUUAUAUAAUUUUAAUUGAAUGUGAACUUUUGUUAGGCUUAAUUAAUAAGGUUGGUGAAUUUAUGUCUUGAGAAUGUUCCUUUGUUUAAAUAAUCAAAUUGCCUCACUUUAGGGAUACAUGUAGACAUUUUAAAAUAUAUUGUUAGUCCUUGGUUGACAACAACAGAAUAUGGUUCUAGAGAAAAAUAAGCAUGAGUCAGAGGUAUAACUCAAAGGCAUCAGAUCAACAUUUGAACGUAUAUCACCCAGAAACUUAAAAUAUGCUAUUUUUAACAAAUAAAGUCAUUAUAGAUUUUUGUUAAUUUAUUUAUCUCCAUAUUUGUUAAUGUAUACACAUGCUUAUUAUAUAUGUUGCUUCAUGAAACUUUAUUUCACCUCCAAGAGUUCAAGGAGUUGGUUAUGAAUAUCACAAUCUUUUCUCAAUAUUAAGAUAAUUGACCCUUCCAAGGACAUUAUACAAUCACGGUUACUUAAGACUCCCUCCUUCUUUUAGAAGAGAAUGAUCUUAAUACAAACUUGUAACUACAAUCUAUAAGAAAGUUUUUUUCUAACCCAACUUUAUAGUUAAACAAUGUUUUUCACAAAUUUUGAAUAAAUUUUAACUUAAAUAAGAUAUGUUUAAUUGUUCAUUGCCUACAGGUAAAAAAAAAAAAAAAGAGUUGAAGCAUGAAAAGGAAGAGUAGUUAUGAGAAUAAUUUGAUGGAACACCUGUUUCAAGUAAUUAAUCUCCUCUCAUCUUGUAACUAUUUGAUAUAGUUUAAAUUAUUUUUUUUAUAAUAAUACAAAUAAAUUAUUUAAAUAUUAUUUAACUAUAGUGAGCAGUUAAGUGUCAAUUUUUUAUACCCUAUUUUCAUAGCAAGGUAAUGUGCAUUAUAUUAUAUUUUACCAUGACAACCUAACCAUGAUUAGCAUGACACAAAACUUGCAUAAAUGUUACUUUUAAAUGAAUAUAUAAUAUUAUGGGUGUGCUUGCUAAUAUGAUCUUAUUUUAAUAUUUUGGCAUAUGAUACUUCAUGAGUGGUUGAUGUUUAACUAUUGGUUUGGCCUAUUGGUCUUCCAUUACCCUACGUCAAACGUGAAUUUAUGAUUAUUUUAUAACUUUAGAAAUAUAUGCUAUGUCAAAGGUGAAUUUAUUAUUAUUUUGUAACUUUGUCUAUAAUUUAAUUUGGACUCAAGCAAGCACUAUAAUUGAUUCGUGUGUAACGAAAGUAUGUAGCAGUCACUUUGUUUAUAAUUAGUAUUAACGUUAUCAUAACAUUAGACCAUGUUUAUGCAACUUAAUAUCCAUGCUCCUUCUCUUUUCCUUUUGUUUUUGUUCUAACAAAAUACAUAUAUGAAAACUAAAGCAUUUUUCAGCGCAUCCACCACAAUGGUUACCAAGUUAAUCACCUAGAGUAGUCUGGACUUUGGCUCAAGCUCCUACUGUAACUCCUGCUUCUGCUACAACUCCUACUUCUGUUGCGGCUUCUUGAUGCAUAAGGUGAUCUAUAGUAUGAUCGAUCCCUAUACUUUCUAUUCUUUGGUGAGAUUGACCUGAAUCAUAAUAAAGAUGAGUAUAAACACUGUAGAUUAUCAAAAAUGAAAUUUUAGCUGAUGUAAUAACAAACCUAUAAUGUCGCUUUUGUCUUAGAGGACAAUAGUCUAGAUUAAGUAUCACCCAGAAACUUAAAAUAUGCUAAUUUUAACAAAUAAAGUCAUUUUAUAUUUUUGUUACUUUAUUUAUCUCCAUAUUUGUUAAUAUAUAGCAUGCUUAUUAUAUAUGUUGCUUUAUGAAAUUUCAUUUCACCUCCUUAAUUUCAUAAAUUUUAAUAAUAGGUCCAAAUGUAGCAACACAACUUUGCCUCUUUCAACAAGUCAAAAGGUGCAUCUUUAUCAUCCGAUGAUAAAGUUUAUGAAAUCUCACAAACUCAUUUAAGAAAAAAGGCAAAUAAAGAAGAUGACACAACUCAAAGUCCAAAGCUACAACUAUCCAAGUCAAAAGAUGCAUCUUCAUCAUCAAAAGAAGAAGAAAGUCCAUUAAAGAAAAAUGUGAAAAAAAAUUAUCAUAAGCCAAUGCUCCAAGUUACAAGUAUCCAAGAAGUCAAAAGAUGCAUCUUCGUCAUCAAAUGAAGUUUAUUCAAUCUCAAAAAUUCCAGUAAGGAGAAAGGCGAAUAAACAAACUGUUCUAAUAUCCUCUGAUGAUGAAGAGUUAAUCUUACUUCAAAAUUUAAAAAGGAACACACCAAAGAAAAUAAAAUUCAAUAACAAGUAGCCAGUAAAAGAAAACAAAUACAAAAAAUCUAUUUAAAUAAAUAAUUUUUGAAGUUUUAUUAGCAUAAUUUUUAUGUGUUUUAACAUUAUGGUUAACUAUUUUUCUUUCAUUAUAUAUAUAUUUCACAUUAUGUGUUUUAAUAUUAUGUGUUUUAUUAUGUCAAUUUCACUUUAUUCUUAUAUUACUCUUAUAAUAUUUAUACAUAACACUUACUUUUACAUUCACGUUACUCAAUUUUAGUUGAGUGAUCAUACUCUAAUUUUAAAAUAUUUUCUUAUAAAUAUAUGGAUAAAUACAAAUUAUCUUAAUUUAUAUAUAAUUUUUUUAACUCAUUUAACCGUCAAUGAUAUAAAAUAUCAUUAAUAAAUAUAUUUUUAAUUUUUAUUUAUCAAUCAAAUAAUUUAUUUAAAUAUUUUUUAAAUUAUUUAUAAACCCGAGCAUCGUGCGGAUCUAUAUCUAGUUUUAUAAAGAAUUGAAGUGAGUAGCAUCUCAAAUAUCACUCUCUUGAAAUCAGCCAUUACCAAGAAUACUUAUUUUCUAAAACUUAUCCUUAAUAUGGGAAUGUCACAUUCUUCAACUUCAUUUUCUCAAAAAAUAACUUCCAAAACCUUUGGUAAAUACAACCUCAGUUUGUGCUAAAAUACUCUAGAUAAUUUGAUUUUUUUUUCAGUCUUACAGAUCCUCAUUAUAUGACAGAACAAAUUUGAUUGCAGUUAAUAGUAGUAGUUCAGGAUCAUGCGCGGAACGCUUUAAGUGGGAUUAAUAUUCUAAUUAUCCAAGUUCAAGGGAUAUGAGCUAUUUAAAACAGUAGGGUCAAGCUGUGGCAUGCAGUGGUUGUUUGUCCCCUGUAUGUGGAGCAAACAGGCCUCUCACUCGGGGCCCAUAAAAGGUCCAUCUUCUCAAACACUUACCAAUAAAAUUUUGCUAGUACUGUUCAAACUUCAAAGCAUUGAUAUAUGGACCGGACAAAAAAUAAGCACGAACAUUAAAAUAAAACAAAAAGGGGUGGAAGAAAAACGAACAAACAAAACAAAAACAUGAGCAGUGAUCCAAGACACCCACUUGGCCUGGGAAUCCUCACUAGGAUCUCAGGGUGGUGAAAGAUUGUCAAGAAUUAAUACUACUUGGAGAACGUGUCUGUCUUCCCAUUUGUACAAGACUGACUUUCUUAACAAUUAUUAUUGGAACAUGCUCUUGUCUCACUUUAACCUUCUUCGGCAGCUACACAUCUAAUGUCACAUUUUAGAUGAGUUCUGCACUUACCAAUUACCUUAGAUGUCCUGAAAUUGUCUUAUUGGUUUCAAGUUAAAAAGACCCUUUCUGUUAUUUUCCCCGGCGCCUUUAGUAUCUUCUUCAUUUUCACUGUUUAUCGGCCAAAUUAACAUUUUUUUUUUGGCGGGGGGCCCUGAUAUUGAGAAAACAUAAUUUGAAUGUGAACAAAAAUAAAAAGCUUUCUUGGAAAGCACCAUUCAUGUGCAGAAUAAAUACAAGUUUUUUUUCAUCGACCAAAUAAAACAUGGAAGCACAAUGGGCAGCAUGUUCGAGAUAAUAAACAAAUUACAGGAUCAAAUCUAACUGUUUAAAUUCACACUGUUGCAUGAUGAUGGUACAACACAAACCGAUGAGUUUGCCAACUUGGCAAUUUGUUGUUUUAUGAUAACCAUACAAUCCGAAAGUCACUUUCAAAAAGUUGCACAGAACUCCCAAAUGAUACAGCUUUUUUCCCCCAACUAGUACUUUUAAUCCGAAUUCUUCGAUAAGAAAUGCAUAUUAAAUGCUUGUUUCAUUGUCAUCCCCAACUGGUCGUAGAACAGUAAUCAUUAGGAGUGUUGAAAAAAAAUUGUUCUUGAUUGAACCGGACUGUUACUAAACUAAAUCUAAUUAGUUUUUUUUGAAUUAGGUAAAAAAAAAUGACCGGGUGUAAUAUUUUAUAAAAACCAUUUCGAAAAUUAGUUUGAAAAAUAGUAUUUACAAAAAUAGUUUAAAAGGUAGUUUGAAAAGUUUAAAAUUAAUUCGGUUCUUAGAAUUAAUUUAAAACAAGUGAAAAACUAUUUUAGUUCAAAAUUAAUUUUUUAAAAUAGUUCAAUUUUGAACUAAUUUAUAAAUCAAUAUGAAUAUUUAAAUAUAAAAUCAAAUCCAUUAAAACAAUUUAAAAUUAAUUCGAUUCAAUUUUUUUAUCAAACUAAUUUUUACACACCUCAUCGUCACAUAAACAAUGCCCCACUAUACUGCUGAUAGCUGCAUAGUUAAGAAAGAAUAUUCCGAGGCAACUCAACCAUAUCCUCAUUCCUCAACCGCUCUGAUACACCUUAGCUUCUAGCUAUCUAUAUACAUGUAGGAACGGAUUCACUUGUUGUGUAUGCACAUGUUUUUGUCAUUAAUUCUUAUUAACUUGUUUCUAUAGUAUAAAUUUGACAACUUUAACAGUUGAACCAAGUGAUAUUGUAUUAAUGAUUAUGGAUAUCAAAUUUAACUAUUCAAUUAAUAGAAACAAUUGUAAUGUGGAUGCUUCUUUUUUAAGUGUUUUAUGCUAGUGAAUGCUUAUCCUGAUACUAGACUGCAGUGACAAGCAUGAUCAUAUAAAUUUCAUUUAAAAAGGUGUGGCUACUCUGCCUAUGCAACAAAAAAUGUGAAAAGUACUAAUGGCCUACUAUAGUACAACUUAGGUUAAUAAGUCACCCUUGUAACCAUAAACUUUUCUUUACAUAUAGUGAACAACUAAAACAAUUCCAGGAAUUGCAUGCAAUUAAUAUUCUAUUUUUUUCCACUAAUUUAAUUAUUGAAACUCCCUUGAAUUGGGAAAUAUUUUAAUAUAAUUUAUUUUUAAAUACUACUAGCUAUUUUCUUAUUUUCCAAUGAGAUAAAAACUAAUGAAAAAUCAUUCUUAUCAAACCAUUGUAUGGAUCUUGUUUCUUCUUAUUUUAGAUCUACUACUGAAGGAGUGGUAAUUAAGAUCACGUCCAUCGAUGCCAAGGGUAUUGUUACUCGGGAAAAUUGAUUAAACUCAAUUUGACUACUGAGCAUCGGAUACCUAUGUAACCGAACAUUAGAUUAAUCGAAUAGCCUGUACAGGAUAUAAGUGAUAUAAUUGAUUAAUUGGAGGGAGCUAGCAAUGAUACACUCAUACAGUCACGUGCUUCUUAGUCUUUAUUUUUUGGCCUGAACCGCAUGACAUUGUUCUAAAAAUCGUAAUAUAUAUGCAAGGAUUUGCACCCCUAAAAAGAAAAUGCAACGAUUCAUAUAAUGCUAGCAAUCUCUUACUACGGUUCAAGUCUUCAUGCAGCAGCAACUGCUACAUGAUCUCAUUGUCCACAUGAGGCAGAUAAACAUGGAUCCGAGAAAAUCUUCUCUUCCAAACCCCACAUACUUAUAUUGAGGAGCAUAUUUAUCGGUCCUGUCAUGGUUGAUUGUUCAAAGAAUUUACUAUAAAUAAAAUAAUUUUUUAAGUAGAUAGUAGUGUGUCUCUAAAAAAUCUUUAUACAGUAAUUAAUAUUGUGCAAUAGUUAAAAAAUGUAAGUUUUGAAACACAUUAACAUUGAAGAAUUAUUUUUCCAUAACAUUAAAAAAUCGAUAUUAGUAAAGUUUGUUGACCCUUUAAGAAAAAAGUAAAGUCUGUUGAUGUUAUUUAACUAGCUUCAAGUAUUGGAACUCUAUUAAUUAGUUACAAAAGGGUGUAAAGAUGAAUAUAUUAAUGGUUUUGAUGUUCGAUUAAUAAGAUCUGAGCACUUGUUUGUUGUUAGGGUAAGUCAUGUGUGAUUCUACUUCCACUUUCGAUGUUAAUUCCUAAUAGUGGUUUGAAUUAUAUUUUGUAAUGUUGUUAGUGAGUUGUAGGUGAAAAUUGACGAAGAUGUUAGAAAUUUAAAAAAUAAAAAAUAAGAUGAUAAAUUAGUUAAUGGAUAAAAUUUAACUUUGAAUUUUAUGGAGACUAAAACCGAAGUAAAAAGAAUUCUAAUGAUAAAAAAUAUUCUUAAAACACAUAUAACAUUGUCACGUGCCAAUUAUAAUGAAAAGAAAUGGAAUUGAGAUACAAGUCUUAAAGUAUAAAACUGUAAAACUCAUACUAAAUUUUAAAUUUUUUCUCUCAUUCUUUUUUUCACACAAUCAAACGCUCCCGGAUAUCUUAUUAGGGUUAGUAGUCCUUCUUCUCACCCUUCCAACAAUUAAUAAUUUUGUUCAUAGACUUAGUUACAUUUUUAAUUCCCAUAUUUUAAUUUAUAUGGAAUUUUACUCUUUUUUAACUUCAAUUGUUCUCAAUUAAUUUUUUAUUUAAAUUAAAUCUCUUAUUUAAAAUUCCAUUUAAUAAUUAAUAGAAAUAUAGGAAAUAUGCAAUAUAUUAUUAAUUUGUAUAAAUUUAUAAAAAAAAUAUAUAACGUACUUAAAUAAUAAAAAAACAAAAUAACUUUUGUUAUAUUUUAUAUAUUUUUCUUUUCUAAUUUACAUUAAAUUAUAAUAGGUCACAUAUGUAUCAAUUAUUUUUUUUCCUAAUUAUUUAAUAACAAUUUCAUUUGAAUAAUUAAAUUUUGUGAAAAUUAAAUCUGAAUAAUUAAAUAAAAAAUAUUUAUAAUUAUAAUACGAAUAUUAAAAUUGCAAUUCGCCCUUUGAUAAUGUCAUUAAGUAUCACAAGAUGUCACCAUUGCACUGAACCCUUUCGACCAAAUUUAAGCGAGGCCGAGUGGUACACCUUUAUUUUUGCAUGAUAUGAUUCCUCCACUUUAUGCUGAGACUCAGAUAUUUAUGGAUUUAUCACCGCACGUAGAUAUGGCAAAGAAAACUCGUAUUUGUGGGUACCCGCCCGAAUCCGUCCCGACUUUGACGGGUAAUACCCGAGUUGAUCGGGUAUGGGUACGGGUUCGGGUUUUUCCCGAUAACCAAAAGUCGGGUACAGAUACGGGUAUGAGAUUACUAGAUCCGUCUCGACCCCGAACCCGAACCCGCCCGCCACUUAAAAUCUUUAGAAUUUUUGCAUAAUUUAAUCAAAAGGCAUAUAAUUUUUAUUACUAGUUAAUUUUAUUUUAAAUUUUUUAUAUAAUUUAAUAUUAUUUUCUUAACUAUUUAUGUAGACACACGCGUUAUAAUAAAUUUAUUGAUAUAUAAGUAGUUAAAAAUAAAUGUUUAACAAUCAAUUUAUUUUUUUUUCUAAAAUCAAAUUUUUAAUAUUUUUUUUAAAAAAAUAUUUUUCUAAAUGGUGUGUGGAACGGGAUUGGGGAUACUCGAUACCUGACGGGUACCCGACGGGUACGAGGAUGGGACAAUAAACUCAAACCCGUCGAUAAACUCAAACCCGUCGGAUAUCAGGUACCGGUAUAGGAAUAUGUUGAGGAGUCGGGAUAAGGGAUUGGGGAGACAAUACCCGUAUCCGACCCGCUCAUUGCUAUGUCUAACCGCACGUAUAGUUUUCGCUGCUAGCUGGGCUCGUUGUAGCAGCCUCAUUUAAUAAAGAAAAACAAAAUCAGCAUCAUACCAUUGCUCUUUUCGUUUUUUAUUUUAUUUUAUUGUUAUAAGUAUUCAUUAAUUUUAAUUUUAUUGAUGAUUAAUUUAUAUAAAAAAAACUAAUUGAUCACUUUUAUGAAAUUCUUCUCUCAUAAUUAUAAUUUUUUUAUCUAUAAAAUUUAAAUUUAUGAUUUAUCUAUAAAAUUUAAAUUUAUGAUUUUAUUUAAUAGAAUUGAAUUCACUAUUAUUUGAACUAACAAUUUAUUCAUAUUUUUAUCAUUAUUAUGACAAGACACUACUAAUUUUGCAUUACAAAUGUAUUUUUUUAAUUUCAAUCAAAUACAAAAUGAAUAUCAAAACAUUAUAAAUUAUAUAUAUACACACAUAUAAAUAAAAUUAAAAGAUAUAUUUGAUUAAUUUAAAUUUAAAUUUUUUAGAUUUCAAUUUAAUUUACAUAAAUAUUAUUUUUUAGAAUAAUAAAACAAUAUUAUUUAAAACAUCAUUUUAUUCAAUAAUUAAUACUGUAAAAUAUAUUUAUUUGAAAAUAGUUUUUUGCUAAUAUGUUUGUUAAGUUGUCAUGUGAAAUAUUUAUUAAUUUAUGUUAAUUACUAAAUUUGAUUUUUUUUAUAUAAUAAUUUGGUUCUUAAUAAAAAUAAAGAAUGUAUUACUAAUAACAGUUAUAUAGCAAUGAUGAUUGUUAUUUAAUGAAAACUUGUGGGCAUGAUACACAAAUGAAUAUAAGCACAUAAUAUUUAUCUUUUAAUUUUACCGGAUCAACUAAUUAACUUGAAAUUGAAAAACAAUUAAUAUGUUUCACAGUUCAUAACUUAUAAGUAUACCUUGAUAAUAAAAAAUAACACCUUAAUAACGUCAAAUGACAAAUACAUUAAAUUUAUUUUAAUGAUUUUGAAAAUUAUGUAUUUUAAUAAAGAAAACAAGACAAUGUAAUAAAAAGUUAACUACUUUACCAUCUCCGUUAACAACAUAUUUUUUUUAAUCACGUCACGUUGAAGAUUUUUACAUAAAAAUAACAAUUGCUAGUCUCUCGUACAAUACAUGUACAGGUGAAAUAUAAAUUUAUAACGUGAUUAAAAAAAUCUCCAUUAAACACGUAUACUUUAAUUAUAGAAGCUUAUUUUUUGAAAACUAUCCCUUAUAUAGAGUUAUAGUAAGUUAGUGGUUGGACGUAUUGUGCUGACAAAAAAAAUUAAUUGUCGAUGAAGACGAAGACAGGAUGCGGAUGACUAAAAAAACAAAACCCAAAGGCAAAGGUAACCCAGUGAGGAGAUAAAUUAUUGUGCAGAAAAAACACAUGACAGCUAAUCCAACAAUUAUUUGGUAAUAAAUAAAGUUAUUAAAUACAUUAAUAAUUAAUUGACAAUGAUAUUCAUAUAUUUCAUUCUGUUAUGACUAUUUUUUAUUUAUUUCUCUUUGUCUUUUCUAUUGCAUCACAUAUUAUAUAUAUUAUUGAUCCGUUUGUUAAACUUUACUAAUAUUUUUUAAAUAAAUAUUUUUAAUGUGUUAUUUUUUUCUAAAAAAAUAAUUUUUUUAAUUUUUAAUAAGGAAAUUUUAUGUUUUUUCAAAAUCAUUUUUUUCGAUUAAAAAAAAACAAGAUGGACCCAUUUUUUUUGUUUAUUUAUGUAUUUUACUUUCCUUUAUCUCUUCUAUCUCCAUUACAAUCCACCCUAAAAAUGGAAGUGGACACUUAUAAUUUUCCUUAAUUAAUAUGAAAAUAAUUUAUAAACACCCAAAUGUCAACGGACGAUAAUUCUUUUUUUAAAAAACUUGAUUAUUGAGUUGUCAAAUAAUUUUUUGCCUAAUAAAAAAAUUAAAAAUUAACUAAAAUGAUUUAUCAAAUAUAACCUGAAUGAGUGGAUGAGUAAUAUUUUUUUAUAAUUACUGUAAUUAGAAUAUUUAGUUUCUUGAUAAAAUCUUGAGAUAUACUUGUAAAGUGUUGACUCUUUAGAUAGGUGUUAUCGGAUUAAUCAUAAGUCAAAAGCUUUAAUUAUACUUAAAAAUUCUCAUCUUUUUCAAAAAAUGCAUUAAGUCAAACUUAAUUUUUUUUUUUACGAAUUCAAAGUUUUGUUAGCAUCUGAAUUACAUUGAUGGAUGAAUAUUUAUUGUAACCUUACAAACAGACCGAUUCUAAUGGAUUUCUCAAACUAAUAAUCAUAUUUGAUUUAAAAAAAAAUUGUUUCGAUGAUAAAUUAUUUUAAAAAAUAUAUGAAUAAUAAUUUUUUAUUAAAUAACCAUGUAAAGAAUUAUAAUAACAAUACAUAAUAAUUAAAUUAAAAAAUAUAAAUAAUGUAUGUAAUUUAGGUUGGAAAGAGGAUAAAGUAGAGAAAAGAAAGAAAGGUUGGUAGAGUGAGGUGUGUAACUGCAAAGCUGCAGCGCACUUUCUCUCUGAACCAAACAAACAAGAAGGCAUCAUGCCAUCCCAGAAACAAAUGCAAACCCCUCCAACACCUCUCCCUUUCAAUUCACCAAUUCCCAUACUAACAUAACAUUUCUUUAUUUAUUCACAGAUCAUAACAGUUAUAAACACAUUGCUUAAAGAACUUCAAAUACCAAUUUUCUUUUGUCGGAAGCAACAAAAUAAUACUGAUUAUUUCACCUCCAACUCCAAAUCUGUUUGUUUCUUGCACACAAUUUGCCGUGGUCCCCACCACAAAGUGUUUGUUUGUUUCCUCAAUUCAAUUUUUCCUUGUCCAAAUCCAAGGAGAUUAGAUUAUGAAACCCAUUGUCACUUCGUUUGCGGAAAUUGGUCUCCUGCUUAGGUUGUAUCAUGUAUGUCCAUCUCACUUUCACACUUGCUGUCUGCUAUAGCAUGUUUUUCCAGUUGUCACUCCUCCCUCCCUCACUGUAUUUUACUCCUUUUUUCUUGUAAAAUAGAAAGAAAUAAGGGGUAGCAGUUAUUUGUUUUGUUUUGUUUUGUUUUUCCCUCUAGGGGAAGGAAACAGAGAAAGAAAAGUUUAAAGAUACCGACUUUUAACUGAAACAGAAUGUGUGGGUGUUUGCUAGAUAGGCUUUAUAAUUCUCAGUAAAAAGCCACUUUCUUCGUUCCAUGAAAAAUAGCUUGGUCCCAUGCUACCACGCCAGCUGCAUCUGCUUUUUUUUGUUAUUCCCUUUGGUUCUGGGGUGGAAUCUACGUAUAAAAGUUGAAAUCUUGGUUUCGUUUCUUGGUUGAGGAGAAUUGUUUGGGGCUGACUUGGUGUUGGGUUGGUCCUGAAUUUUUUUAAUGCCUUUUUGUUUGUUUUCUAGUUUUUUUUUUUUUUUUUUUUUUUUUAAAUUGCGUACUAGUAACUCUCUCUCUCUCUCUGGGAAUUGGGUGCUUCUAUUUGUUUAAUGGAAGAUUAUUUAUGGGUUUAGAUUAUUGGGUUUAACAGUUCAUGCCUAGUCACCAAUACGCGUUUGGUAUACGUAUUGAAAUCUUUCUUUCUUCUUUUGUGCAAAUUUGCUUGGUCUAGCAGCCAUAUCUGCAUCUGGUUUUGCGCGUGGUGUACACCCAGACAUUCUCGCUGGUAAUUCAGCUACUUUGUUUUUUUAUGCUAGGAAUUUGCGUUCUAUCAUCUAUGUUUUGCCUACUUUGAAUCCGCUACAAGUUUCUCCUUUUUUAUUUUUGAAAAAAAAAAUGUACUUGAAGCUCAUUGUUCUUCAAGCUCAAUUGAGGCCAAGGUUUUAAAAAACUUUCUGCCAGCGUGGUUUCAGCUUCAAUUGUGGUCACAUUCGUCUGUAAUUUCCGUCUCAAUUUUCCGCAAUGUGACUGCAAUUAUGGUUGUAUUUGUCUGCAAUUUCCGCCGCAAUUUUCUGCAAUACCAAGGAAUGCGACGAAACCACGACUGCGAUUGCAAUUUAAAACCUUGAUAGUUGCCAAAAGUGGGUCAAACAAAUUGCAUAAUGCAUUGUGAUUUGUGAAAACUAAAAAGUUGCUUCUGCACUUUGUUGGAUUUACAUGUUUUAUUUGGUUGUUAUUGGAGAUGAAUAGUUAAUUGCUGAUCUUUGUGAUGAAUGCAGAUCUAGUUGGGAUAAAGUGUCUCUUUAUAUUGCCAAGAAGAGUUUACUGUGUGGGAGGAGUGUUUUAUGUUUGAGGUCUUAUAUACUUGUGAGAAAAGAGCUUUUUGGAUUUGAGUAGUAGGGUGAAGGUUCUUUGGUGGGGCUAGAUAUGGCCUCUGGUGAAGGGAGGCGGCGUCAUCAUGAUCUUGUGCCUCUUGCUGCAUUGCUCAAGAGAGAGAUGAAGAGUGAGAAGAUGGAGAAGCCUACUGUGAGGGUUGGACAUGCAGCUCAGUCCAAGAAAGGGGAGGAUUACUUUCUAAUUAAGACUGAUUGUCAACGAGUGCCUGGGAACUCUUCAUCUUCCUUUUCUGUAUAUGCGGUAUUUUUCAACUUUUCUGUUUCAGAUUAUAUUUUCACCUCUAGAAAUGCAUGAUAUAUCAUAUAUAUAGUAAGUUAUAGUUUGGAGAUUGCUGAUUGUUUAAUCUGCUUGUUUUCAUGGAAAUUUUGCUUUACUUUUUACUCUUGGCAUGUGGCAACAGCCUUUUCAGACUAAAAUGAAUGUCCUUUUGGAUGGAAGCACAGUAUCCUAUAAGAUGGCCACUCAUUUCUUCUGGUUAACAGGUUUUUGAUGGGCAUAAUGGAAAUGCUGCUGCCAUUUUUACUAGGGAGCAUUUGUUAAAUCAUGUGUUGGGUGCUCUUCCUCGAGGGCUUGGACGAGAUGAGUGGUUACAAGCUUUACCAAGGGCACUGGUUGCUGGCUUUGUUAAGACUGACAAGGAAUUUCAGAGCAGAGGUGUGAACUUUAGCUUUUAUUCUUGUGUCUUUUGGGGAUAGAGAAGUUAUUCAUAUUGGGAGGGUGGAAAUACAGAACUGGAGGAUCAGGAUUCAGGAAUUUAUUUUUUCUCUCUUCUUAUUACUGAUUGUAUGAGUCCUCAUCUGGUUUUGUCCAGGAGAAACUUCUGGAACCACAGCCACAUUCGUAAUAGUGGAUAGGUGGACUGUGACUGUUGCAUCAGUUGGAGAUUCCCGUUGUAUACUAGAUACCCAGGGUGGUGCUGUUACCUCCUUAACUGUUGAUCACAGACUUGAAGAGAAUAUUGAAGAGUAUGUUUUUAUUUCUAAGGCCUAAGUUUGUUAACCUUUUUUUUUUGUAUGCUCUUGUUAUGAGUUACACUGUAUGCACAGGAGGGAACGUGUAACUGCUAGUGGAGGUGAAGUUGGGAGACUUAGCAUUGUUGGUGGGGCUGAGGUGAGCAUAUUUAUGUUGUAGUUAUACUUUUUUCAUCCUAAAAUGGAAGAAAAGGAAAGAUCUUCCAUUUGUCCCCUACCCCCUUACAGCAUCUAACAUGGGAACAUUCCAUUUAGCUUAUCCUUGUUUUAAAGUUUAGUUCUAAACCAUUGCAGAUUGGUCCCCUUCGUUGCUGGCCAGGAGGUCUAUGCCUUUCUAGGUCAAUAGGUGACAUGGAUGUUGGGGAGUUCAUAGUUCCAAUACCAUAUGUCAAACAAGUAAAGGUAUAAUUUGUUUCCAGAUAAUUUCUUCUUCUUUAGGUCAGUGAUUAUAAUGAUUAUGCAUCCUGCUAGGCCUUUGUUCAGGAUAAAAAUCUUACAAUUUGUCAUGGAUUAUAGCUGUCAAAAGCUGGUGGGAGGCUUGUAAUUGCCUCUGAUGGCAUAUGGGAUGCUCUAUCAUCAGAAAUGGCUGCAAAAUUUUGCCGUGGUUUGCCUGCUGAACUUGCUGCUAUGCAGGUUGUCAAGGUAGUCUUCUGGCUUGUGAUGUGACAUUACUACAUUAGCAUCAUGUUGCAAAGCUGGCAUUUCUCCUCACAUGUAUAUAUAUUUUAACUGUUAUACAGGAAGCACUAAGAACGAGAGGGUUAAAGGACGAUACAACUUGCAUAGUAGUUGACAUUAUCCCACCUGAUAAUGAAUUGCCACCAACACCUCCCCCCCCAAAACGGAACAAGCUGAGAGAUCUUCUUUCCUUCAGGAAGAGGUCCCGUGAUUCUGCCAGUAAGCUGUCAAAAAAGCUUUCAGCUAUAAAUAUAGUGGAGGAACUGUUUGAAGAAGGAUCCGCAAUGCUUGCUGAAAGGUAAUCUGUCAUUCCCUUCUAUAGGAAAAAUUUUCAAUUGACGAGAGUGGGAAAAUUUCAUGAACAGUACAUUACAGUCUAAUUAGUUUAUGAUGUGCUGCGAUUUACUUACCUGAUAAUAUGUGGAGUCAUAACUCAUAAGUGAACACCCUCCUUCCUUUUCGAGGAAGGAAUCUUCAUGUUUUGCAUGGCCAUUUGGCUGUAAAAACACUUAUAUUUUAUCCUAUUGCCUCUUAUUAUAUUCUUAAUUGGUUCUCUCUUAACUGAUACCUACUUAGGAUACUACGUGAGCUAAUUUCAGUAUGUGUUCUGUAGCUAUGAGUCUGUACUAGUCUGGAAGUAUUUCCUGGUUUUCUUAUCGAGUUGGACUUACUCAGACAAUUUUCUGUUGUAUUCCUUUAAAUACUUUUAAAACAGUUAUGGUUCAUGAAUAUUUAUUACUUAAUAUGGCAUACCUGCAGAUUAGGAAAUGAUGACAACUUGAACUCAGGGCAAUCAACAUCUGGCAUUUUUGUCUGUGCUGUAUGUCAAGUUGAUCUUGCUCCAAGUGAGGGCAUCUCUGUCCACGCAGGUUCCAUUUUCUCCACCAGCUCCAAACCCUGGGAAGGUCCUUUUCUAUGUUUUGAUUGCCGUGAUAAGAAGGAUGCUAUGGAAGGAAAACGUCCAAGUGGAGUUAAGGUGUCAUAGGCUCAAAAUUGAUUUCCUGUUAUAGUAUUCUUUAUGCUAUCUUUGGCCAUUUUUGUAUUCACAAUUUUUAUAGGCAAAAAUUAAUUGAUUGAAUCUCACUAUCUAGCAGCAACAGCUGUAUAUGUGAAUUGUGAUAUCCACGAAUUCAUCUAAAAUGGGGCCAUUGCAUUUGAGUAGCAAAUUAAAACUGGGAGAGAGUGCCUGGAAUGGGUUUUUGGGCGGCUGAAGAUUCUUCAUCUCUGAUUUGGAUGGUUAAGAUUGUUGCCGGGUAGAUUCUUUUGUAUAGUAGUUUAUGUUGCUUAACUUACCACAAAAGUGGGUAUUCUCUUGAUUAAGUAUGCCUCCCCAAAUUCUGUAUAUAAAUUUCCAUGGACCUUUUCUACCCCUGGGGAUUGGAAGCUUCAAAUCUCUACUAUGGAUUGAGAAAUCAAUUCAUCUAAAUUUAGAAAUUGCUUGUUAAAUACUGUAUGUUUCCUUUUUCCCGUGUUAUUUUGGUGUCACUCUCCUCUUUGUCCUUUACAAAUAACUGGAAGGAUAAUGUAAUGAUUGCUUAUGCGAUUUUUCAAUGUUAGAGCAAAGUUCCGUUGAACGGAAAGUGAGAGCGCCUUAAACCAAACACACACUAAGCAUGUUUGAAUUAAAGUUUACACAUUUAAUCCAAGAUUAAAUUUAAGUUUGUAAACUAAAUUUAGAAAAACAAUUCAAGUCUUAUUUUUACAAAAUUGAAUUUUUAAACAAAAUUGUAAUAUGCAAAUGUAUUUUUGAGAAUAAUCAAACAUGUCACAAAAAUGAGUUUAAAAUAUUCCAAAAGGAGAAUUAAACAUAGCCUAAUGCAUAAAAGCAUAAAUUUCUCAGUAAUCAAGUUUCUCAAAGUUUCUAUUCUGUUACCAUGAGCAAAGGAAUGGAGUUCCAAGUUCGAGCAUUAAACCUAAAUUGGGAAACGUAUGAAUUUUGGAAGAGUCAAUUUCCAUCCUCUCUUUCUGCUAAUACGUUGUAUAGUGAAUAGGAGAAAUUGAACGGAAAAUAUGGUGGGCCUAUUUUUCUCCGGGUCUUCCAUGCUCAUUUUCCAAGUCAAAUUGCGAAUCAAAGACGUUCUUUUAGAUGAGUUGAUACAUGUCAUAUACUAUAAAUUAAUAUAGAGAGUUCAUUACUUGUUCCUCAAAAAGUUGGGAAUUUGGGAUGGCUCCAGUUGAUUUGUUCUGCUUCCUAUUUUGUUUCCUUGUACUCAUUCUCUCCGCUGGUUAUGGAAAUGGGCACCAAGAUUGUCCACACUCCUUUACUUGUGGGAAUCUUGGGACUCUCCAUUACCCUUUCACCAAGGCAGAACUACCUGACUGUGGCUUGCUAGCCAUACGUGAUUGUGAUGAUCCUCUUCAACCCACAAAAACGAUCCAGCUAGAGAAAAAUGGAAAUAGCAGCAGCAUAGUGGUUAAUGGCAUCACUCAGCAGGGUGAGAUUUCAAUUUUGGAUGAAGAUUUUCACAAGCGUUUACAACAAAAUACUUGUGGAGCGUUGAAGAAUAAUUAUAGUCUUCCAUCCCCUUCUUCUUUGUAUUCUAUUCACAUAGAAUAUAAUGUAACACUAUUCAAAUGCAAACACAGCCUCAAUAUGAAUAUGAAACCCCCAGCACAUUAUUUUAAAUACCAGUGCCAUGAUUAUGAUUAUGAUAUCUAUUAUGACAGCCUUCCCUCUCCUAAUAAUAAGGAGGCGCAUAGCCUUUUCUCAUCCUACUCAGUUAUUCAGAUAUCAUCAAAAGACUUGACUGAUACCUCAAACAUUCUAUCGUUUCUAUCUGCUGAGAUGACUCUUGAAGUAGUAUUAUCUAAUGAUUGUUACGAGUGCUAUAAUCUCAGAGGUGGCCAAUGUCUACUUGACAGCAAUCAAAAGUUCUACUGUGAAAAAGGUACGCUUUACAUAAAUUUCUCAUUUAUUCCUUAAUCCAUUCGAAUGUUUCCUUUCGGUACAGUGAGUUUUCUAGACCAGACCAUUGAGAUUGUCACAUACGAAGUCUCGUCUUAGACAUGGCUGCGCCAGUGCCCCAAUUUUUAUUAUUUUUAAAAUUCUGGUGUUUUUUUAAGCAUUUAAUUAUUUUCUAUUUACCACUUCAGUGGCAAGAGUCAAGUUGAUUGCUGAAUGCUAUUUUUUUUUACUCUGUAUCCAUCCAUCCAUCAGGAUUCAAGAACUAAUCUGUCAAAGGAGAUUCAUUUAAGCUACUAACAUCUUUCCAUAAACGUUUUUGCCAUAUGCUUGACCACACGCUUUACGUUACUGGCAUCAUGGCGAUUAGAAUUAGUUUGACUGUCCUAAUUUUCUAGACCAGUGUGAGCCUAACACUCCGUUACUUCACCAAUAGUUAUGACACCCUUUCUUCUGUAAUUCUUAAAUCAUUAAGAAAUAAAUACAAGAGGCUGCGUUAGUAAAUGUUUGACAAAAAUAAAGAAAAGCUUUAAAUAAAUUAUUGGCUUUGAUUUUUAUAACAUUACUCGUCAUGUUUUUCAUUCUUUUUCCCUCUCUACUUACAAACCCAUUAAAUUAAAUAUUAGUAUUAUUCUAAAGUGACAUCCAGGAAAUAAACCAAUUUGGGUUGGCUUGAGGGGAUAAUUGUUGGUAUGUACCAGAUUAAAAGUAAUCACGAAUUAUUAAUGUAUUAUGGAUAUUGCAUUUGAUUAGCAAAGGCUCUCCGAGAGAACCUUGAUUUAGUUGUUUAUAGGCUUUCUGAAAAAAAAAAAGGUUGUUUAUAGGCUAAAAUAUAUUAAUGCUCUAUUAAUUUUUUGGAAUGUUUUUUUUGAAAGAUGUAAAAUACACUUUGAGAAAUGCUAUUUUGGAUUGAAGUUGUUGUUUUUAAAAUGAAUUUUUUGUAAGUCCAAUACUGAUUUUUAAAUCCCUUUUCACUUCUAGAAAGGAUGUUUCAAAUUUACAAAUCUACCCUUAGAAUAGUUGUUCCUUAAGUUAAAUUGCUUCCGGAAUAACCGUUUUAAAAGUUUUGUUGGCUUUUGGAAAAGCCAUUAUGAAAACUUUUUUUUUCUUAUGAAAAACUUAUUUUGGAAGGUUUUUUUUUCCUACAAAAAGGUUAUUCCAAAAUCAUUUUUUGUUAAGGAAUAAGCAUUCCAAAAUGCGACCCCAUCCACACCGGAAAUCACCCCCACCAUAACCCAACCUCAACCCCACCAAAAACCAACCCCAAUCCCACUAGAACCCAAACCCAUAUCACAAAGGAAGAAGCUUACCUUCAAUGACAAAGGAGGAAGGGAAUGAGGAUGCGCAACUUCAAGACAAAGGAAGAAGGAAGAUGUCGUGGUAAGUCAUCGUUGUGGGUGAGUUGGAAAAGAUCAUGCUAAUUCAUUAAGGGCAAUAGAAUAAUUUCAAAUGAAAUAAAGGAAUGGAGAAUAUACUUGUGAGGACGUAGGAUUUAAUUCCCCAAAUUUAGUUACUCUUGUUGGUCAAGAGGCUAAGCCUUGUUUAAAUCAAGCCCACAAUGACUCAAGCAAAAUCAAGAAAAAAAAUUUCCUUAAUCCUUCAAAGCAUUCAUUUUGAUCCACAAGUGAGUAAUAUGUCUUCUUUCCAUUUUAACGUGGAAAUUUUUUGUGUGACCCCACGUGUUUUUAGAAAUUUCCUUAGCCUUUGUUGCCUACCAAACCAUGAAAGUUCCUCCCUCUAGCAAACACACAAAGGUGUCAACCAUUUACUCCAAUUGUAAGGUCAAUGCCGUAGGCGGCUAUAGCCUCGCUAUUGACAAUUUUUUGGUAUAAUUCUCUUCUCCUUCUUCAAUGUUCUCUGUCCACCACUAGAUAGUAGACACCUUCCAAAAUGAACAUCUUCUUUAUCCUUAAACCCCUUUCUUCUCCCCUGUUUCUCUCAUACAUCAUCUUCUUCUAUCUCCUUGCCAAAAACACCUCCUGUGAUGUGGACCCAAAAUUUCUCGUAAGAUUUAAAUGCAUUUUUUUAUAUUAUUGUUCAAUUCAAAUUUAUGUAAUAAGGCUUUGUAUUAAAAGUCAACAUAGAUUACCAUAUAAAACUCUACUAAUUUCGAUCUAAGUUAUCCUUUCUUAUUCAUAAAUCGAUGAUAAAGGGAUUUUGUUAUCAAGAUUAGCAGAACAAGUAGGAUAUUUGUUAUGAAUAAGAGCAGAAAACAACAGGACACAGAGCAAGAAACAAAACCAAAGAAGGAAGAAAGGCCAAGGAGGGAAAUCUACAAACCUCAGUACCUCAGAGACUUUGUAUAGGAGGCUGAGCUGGCAGCAGAUUGGUGCUCUUCCACGAUUGUUGUCGGUCAUUAUCCAAAUUCCGUUAGAAAUGUUUAUUUUGAUUUCCUUCAAGUCAUAUAAUGCCAAAAGCCGAUAGAAUAUUGUAAUAGGCUCAAACUCUAUAUAUAUUGAAAACAUGUAUUCAAAUGGCAAGUAGAAAUAUAAUUAGAAAUUUCCUCUCUUAAUCUCCCUUUUCUGGAGAUCUCCUAGUCCUCAAAUUCUGGGAACAUAAUAACUUGGUGCUUUCAUUGAGCACUGCCACCAUGGCUACAACAACUCGACCCAAAACCAGAAUGGAACACAUAGAAGAAGCCAUAACUAAGCUAGCCUCCAACCAACUCCAUGUCACCAUCAAACUAGAUGAACUCAUUUAAUGCAUUACUGUGUUGGAAGCCCGUUAACACCAUUCACCCACACCUCCAUCUUCUUCCUCUGCGAAGGCACUCCUCGCACACACGCCCAUGCCAACUCCAUCACCACCCCCCACACUCAUGCCGCAACACCUCGCACCCUUGCCAGCUCCGCUUACCAGCAAAGGAGACAUUGCAAGAAAGCUUAUAGAACCACUUUACCCUACCUUGCCUUUCGAGAGCGACAACAACAUCCACCGUGAUACACGUCUUUCCCUUAACGUGCUCAGUGUAGGUAACAGAGUACCACAGACCAUCCUCGGGAAGAUUCUUAAGGACUCCGCGAGCCAAACGGUGAAUCCCGAGUUUCAUAAUGUUCAGCAUGUUGUCACACAGCACCACCUUGUGUCCUUUGGCUCCUCUCUUGCCUCCCUCCCGCGACCACCGUAUUCGUCGCCGUCACCUCCACCACCACCACCAGAGCCACCGCCUCCACCACGACCAUGGUCGGCGCGGGUUUGUGCUUCGUGGACAAUGAGGUUCGGCCGUAAAGGUCUUGACCGUGUCACCCAUUGUUCCCAAAAGGUGGAUGCUUUGACAUGCUCCUUUGCCCUCAAGGGCUGCACACGCACAUUGGCUUUCUUCGAAGCCACCCAAAUACAUUCUCAGCUUUUGCGAUUUGGGUUCGAAGCUGAUAUCUUGUUGCUGACCACUUUGCUGGACGUGUACGCCAAAAUCGGUGAUCUUGACGCUGCACAAAAGGUGUUUGAUAAUAUGUGCAGGCGAGACAUUACUUCGUGGAAUGCCAUGAUUUUUGGGUUGGCUCAAGGAAGCCGCCCCAAUGAGGCUAUAGCUUUGUUCAACAGAAUGAAGGAUGAGGGACGGAGCCCUAAGGAAGUAAUUGUUCUUAGUGCCCUAUUAUACUCAUGUAUCUUUCUUCUUCUAUACUCACCCCCCUGUUUCAACUUGAUUUUCUUAUUGCCCACUUUUCUUUUUCUACACCUCCAUCUUUCCUAUAGCAAGCCCAAAUCACCAUGGCCCAAAUUUUCACUCACGUGUUAUUUAUUUUUUUCUAAAACCCAUCUCGUGUUUUAGCUAUUUUUGUUUUUUGAAUUGUGCCACCAAGCUGCUUCGCUGUCUAGAUUUGAAGCCCAACACCUUGAGGAUAACGUGUUUUUGAUGGGCCAGGGAAUGUUAUGAAUAAGAGCAGAAAACAACAGGACACAGAGCAAGAACCAGAACCAAAGAAGGAAGAAAGGCCAAUGAGGGAAAUUUACAAACCUCAGUACCUCAGAGACUUCGUAUAGGAGGUUGAGCUGGCAACAGUUGGUGCAGAGGUUGAACUGACAGCAGAUUGGUGCUCUUCCAUGACUGUUGUCGGCCAUUAUUCCAAAUUCUGUUAAAAAUGUUUAUUUUGAUUUCCUUCAAGGCAUAUAAUGCCAAAAGCCAUUAGAAUAUUGUAAUAGGCUCAAACUCUAUAUAUACGAAAAACAUGUAUUCAAAUGACAAACAGAAAUAUAAUUAGAAAUUCUCUCUCUUAAUCUCCAUUUUCUGGAUAUCUCCUAGUGCUCGAAAUCUAGGAACAUAACAAUAUUUCUGAACUUAAAAACCAUUUAAUUUUUCUUGCUCUCUAAUGUCCAAAUAAAACAAGUGGUCAGAAGUUAGCAAAUUUGUUCAACCUUUUCAACUUGCCUACACGGGGUUCCAUUCAAAGAUAAGAGGCAGAGACAAGUUGUCAAUAUCAAUUCCGUAGGCGGCCAUACCCUCGCCUCUCACCUCACACUCCGCAUCUUCUUUUGGGUAUAAUCCUAUUCUCUCUUCUUCAAUGUUCUCUAUCCACAGCCCUCCAAAAUGAACAUCUUCUUUAUCCUCAGACCCCUUUCUUCUCCCCUGAUUUUCUCCUACAUCAUCCUCUUCUAUCUCCUUGCCAAAAACACCUCCUGUGAUGUGGACCCAAAAUUUCUUGCAUGUCCACCCACAACCUGCGUCAACAACAAUCAAAGUAUAAGUUAUCCGUUUUACAUCGAAGGAAAACAAGAACCUUUUUGUGGGAAUCCCGGUUUUGGCAUCUCUUGUGGCCCAAAUGGUUUUCCAAUCCUCAAUCUGUCUAAUACCCAAUACAUCAUUCACCAAAUAUUCUACGAAAAUCAGACACUUCGAGUGUCCAAUGCCGCGUUUUC